rnacentral:lncRNA from 1 species
UCAGGAGUAUACCAGCAUACUGAGCAGCUAUGUCUUUUUCUGUUAUAUGCUGAAAAUUGGGUUAGCAGCCAUCUUUGGGUUCAACAAUAUUCAAGAGUCUUAUUGCGGGCAGCCAAACGCAGUCUUUAUUCGAAUAACUGGUGGUCAUUGCAUUGCGCUGCCAUUUCAUUCCUUUUUAUUUAAUCUGGCAUCAUAGUUUUUGUAGUUUUGUGGUUUGUUCUCUGUUUAAGUGAGAGCUAAUUUGAGAGCAAGUGAAUUGUAGGAUUGAAGGGAUUAAAAUCAUCUUCCUAUUCAAAAUUAAAUAGAAAGAGGAUUUUAGCCCCUCGUUUCCUUCCAAUUUUCUUGCUCCUAAACUUGUCUUAAGGGCUUGUUUGGGAGUAAGGAUAAUGGAAAGGGCUUGUUUGGGAGUAAGGAUAAUGGAGGAGAUUGAGGGGAUAUAAUACCUCACUAUUCAUUUUUAAAUAUUGAGGGAUUUUAGCCACCUCUAUUCCACUUGCUUCCAAACAUGUCCUAAAAGAUUAUGUAUUACUCUCCCGGACGAGUUUUUUAUGCAUAAUUUUGUAUUGUUUACACCACAGUUAGAAUCUUCAGAGUAAUUGCUAUUCUUAUUGAUGUGCAUAGCGCCACAAGGCUUCUGUUUGCUGCCAGAAUAUGUGUGAUCGAGUAGGGCAGUAGGCAAACAUGUCCAUACAAAAUGUGUUAUUAUAGGACAUGCUGAUUUCCAAAGACAUGUUACGACUUCGUUUGGCUUUAAUACAUACUGGCUUCUACUGCUUCUAUAAUAUAGUCCGAAUAACUAGCUUUAAUCCGAAGCGGACAAUUAAUUUAUGUUAUGGCUUGACAUUCGUGGUGCAUGGAAUAACGGAGUAAGAACUUUGAGGAGACACAAGAUGGUCUCAAAAACUGUAACUCAAGAUCUUUUUAUCUCUUAGACGUAUUUCCUUUUCAACCAAGAUAAUUUAUUUGCAGACCCCUUUCAACCUUGUUUGGAUAUUCUUGUAUUCACCCUAAUCUAUAUGUAUUGAAGUAGAUUAGGGUGAAUACGAGAGCAUAUGCCUUUGAUGUGACAUUUGAAAUGCCACUCAUUUACCCGUUUCUUUUGCUGUAAACAAUUGCAUAUAUUUGGGUCAGAGACCUUGACCUGGCAAUUAUCAAUUAUUUUAGUUUCUUUUUUUUACGUAUCAAUUAUUCUAAGCUACUGUCAGGUACUACUUUGGUGCAGUUAAAUCUACGGAGGCAAAGAGAAAAGAGGUUCACUUGAGGAAUAGUCUAUAGGAAUAUAUGAAGGCCCUUCUCUGCCUUUGCAAUUAACCUUACUUAUCUUGUGUACAUUUGUAAUUAUGAGAUAUAAGCAGCAGAUUACUUCAUUUCGGGCGUUGAAUGCUUUUUGAAUGGCUGAGAAUUGGUGACUGCUAAAGUUGUAGUAGCUGUAUCGAUUGAGCUGAUAGCUCUUCUGGUCAGCUCCUUUCCGUGAUUCCGUCCCCAAAACAAGUAACCCUCUGAUAAUUUAAGCAUUUUUAAUUUUAACGAAAUAUAUAAAAAUAUUAAUAUUUAUAGUACACAACUAGUAUUAUUAAAUAGAUUGUCAAAAUCUAUUUUUAUAACAAAAUUUAGUUUGAGAUAUAACUGUAGCUAUUUUCUAAAAAAAUUGUUAAAAUUUUAACAAAAAAAUGAUAGGCACAAAUAUUAUAGCAACACUUAUUUUGAGAUGGAAGGAGUAUUUGAUAGAGCUGCUUCCAGAAUCUUUGAAUGAAGUGAUUUUGUAAGGUCAUGUGGCUUAAAAGUGUUUUUUCUGAGUCUCUGCCAUUGUCGUUUCUCUUGUUCCGCGAGUGGUGUUACUAUACGGCGUUGUGACAUUUUAUCUCCACGUUUGUGGAUGUUGUCGAUAUGUUGCUAUUGUUAUUGCGGUAAUGAUUGACAAUGAAUAUGAGUGGCAUGGUUGAACGUGUCAUGAUUGUUGGCAUAUGAGGACGUAUAGUUGUUUCUAUUAUAUCAUUGUACUCUUUUUUUAUUGUGUUAUACAACUAGUGGUAAUGAUCAAUUAUUCUUUACUCGUGUGUUAUCUUGGUUGAACCUAUUAGAUAUGCUAGUGCGUAGCGUAUCCAUUUUCCUACAGUGGUACUCAUGCAUAGUUUUUAUCUCGAUAUUUGCACAUAGGUGAUUUGCCUUAUGAAUUGGAUCUAUUUUUGCUUAUGUUGAAGCACAUAUUAGGACGAAUGAGAUAGUUGUUGGUAUAGUCACACAACUUAUUUAUCCCUACCGAAUAAAAUCACUAUUGAGGCAUAAGAUCGGUUUGCUUUUCCUCCUAACCACUUGCACAACUUGUUCUUGUUGGAUUCACCAUCAGGGCUAACCGUGCGUGUACCUUUUAGGUUGAGAAAGGCAACAGAUCCAAGUAAGGUUGGGUGCAUUGUUAUCGUUCUACCUCGUACAAUUGUCAAUAUGAUUGAUGAUGAAAAUAGAGACAUUUGAAAUGUCUCAGAAUCAGUUUGAUUUGAUCAAUCUGAUGAGAUUUCCAUAUCGAUUUCAUUGGUGUGAUUAAUGAAAUUCUAAGAGGUUUGGCCAAUCCCUUUUUGCAUCACAUGCUACUAUCAGGUUCUUUGCCUAAGUUUGUUUUGUAGGGAAUGUUGUGAAUAGUAUGAUCUAGAUGUAUAUGAGAUGCACAUGUGUAUUUUUGGCAGUAUGUGUGUCAUAUUUAUCGCAACUAGGUUGAGGUUACUCUUUUAUUGUGUAAUGACCUAUGUGUUGAUCUAUGAUGUUUGAUAUUUUACCAGCUAGUGAUAUCAUAGUUCUUGAUGUUAUCAUGGAAGACUCAAGUAUGAAGGCUCGAAGGAUGAGGAAUUAGUGAUACAGAUCAUCAUGACAUGGGGCCAUACUCAUAUUUAAUAUGAUUAUUCGUGGUGUUUUAUUUUCUUGUUAUACUAUUCACCCAUGUAUUGAAUGUUACAGUAUAGCUUCCUUUGAAAAAAUUAGGAGAUCACUUUGAUUCUCUUCCAAUUGGUUGGUCUACAAAAGUAGACUGGCAUCAAUUACCUUGAUCUAAUAUGAUGGAUGUCAGACAUCUUUAUGCAUAAUGUUGGUUUGCUUAACAAGGCUACCAAAUAGGAUUUAGGUCUUGGGCUUGUUGGGAGCUAAAGCAUUGGAUGUUAUCCAACAAACAGGAGUCACAUAGGAUAUGAUUAAAAAAUGUUGCUUACCUAUGUUAUUAUGUUUCUACCCGUGAUGCCAAAGCUCAUUAGAACUUAGUGAACAUGGAUAUUCUCCAUUAUAUGUCAUUAGAUGGGAUACAAUUGCAAAGCAUAUAUUAGGAGAAUCUUUUCUUAGAUUGUUUAAUGAAAUAUUAAAGUAAAUAUAGUGAUGAACUUUGCUUCUAUUUUGUUAUAGAUGACACCUAAUGCUUUUACCAGUUUUAAUUUGUUAAAAAAUUGACAAAGAAAAACUCACUCGAACAAACUUUAUUGAUUGAUACCAUAAUUUAGAAUUGUUCUUAAGCAAAAUAAAAAAGAAUAUAUUCUUGAGACUCCUGAUCCUAAUGAGCGAGUCAACAAAGAAUGCAAGUGAUGCUGAUUGAAGUGCUUAUGAGAGACAUAUGAAUGAAUAGGGCUAGAAAAAAUCUCAAUGCUCUCAAGAUGGUUUGGGAUAGAUGCGUAUUGGCUCGGCUCUUGAGCCUCUGAUAAGCUGAGUUGAGUUGAACUAGCUCAUUAUUACUAACAAAAGAUUCUCAACCACCAAAUAGGAGACAUGAGGAUUUGUUUUCGGAACUCGGCUCCUUCCAAAAAGAACAUAUGUCGUCACCGAGAAAGCUUCAAGUGACCCAAAGAUCAAGCUUAAGAUGAGUCCAUUUCAACUCCUUUCAUUAUCUACUAUUUUGAUCUCUUCCACUACAGAGGUAAGAUUAGGGCCUUCACAAACUUUCCACGGCUCACCAAAAAGCGUGAGAAAUCGCUAGACAAUGUCAUGUUGUUUAUAAGUUUUUUCUAUCAAAAGUAGUAAAUGCUUCAUGAGCGAUUGAUGAAGCCCGCAAGUGUUUAAGGAUUUGAUUUGCUCACUUUUAAUCUCGAUAACUAAAUCUCUCAAACAAAUUUACUAAAUCUCACAUAAAUAUCAUGAAGAGAGGUUGGGAAGAGCUAGAGAGGCUUUUGUGGACAUAGGGGUGUGGCAUUAACUCCUCAAACUGAGGAAGGGGCUAUAAACAUCGUACACUCAUGAACUUGUUCGUUAUGUCUAACAUAACUAGGAACUUACAGAAAAUAUUCGGAACUUCCAGGCCAGAAUAAAAGUUGUCGUUUGAACAGUAAAACUAGGCAUUGACCUAGAAUGAGUGUACAAUCUAGAACUUCUAGAAAACAUGUCCAAAACUUUGAAAAUUUUGAAUAAGUAGUACAUGUAACUUCACAAAAAAAACAUCAUAACUUCUAGCUCCAAGCUCCAAUUUUGACCAUCUUGGAUUCUACAAAAGGGUUAUUUAGAGGGAUAACCAUCACAACUAAAACACAAUCUCCAUGACCAAAAAGUACAAUUGUUGGUAUGUGUUUCUCUUGGUUAUUAUUCGAGUUUUGGUUAUUUUGAGCACUUAUGACUUAUCAAACUAUGUUUGUUCUAUCUCUCUUAAUAGUAUGACAUACAUAUAUAUACUGAAGAUCAAAGGUUAUGUCUCUCUCACUCACUUGAGUUUUCAAUAUCUUCAUAUGCCAUUUUUUCUCAAAGUAUCUUCAGAAGGGUUUGCAACACCCUUUGUCACAUUCUUUGAGUAACACGACAUUGGGUUUGUAACAUAAACCAUUUAAUAUAUGUGAGUUUAAUUCAUGGCUUCAAGUGAUUUCUACUUAUGAUACAACAAUGAUUUAAAUCUCCACGUAAUUUGACUAGUAGUUCAUCAACUUAGUGCAAUGAUUCUCUCUCAGCCGAGCGCGCCUAAUCUUGCCAAUUGAGCAACGUAUAACCAAUUUGGCUAGCUCAUAUUAGCAAAGAAAAAACAUCUUUCAUGUCAAUCAACAUAGCAAGGCAAGGAAACAAAACCUAGGUGGUGUUUGGCUCAGUGGGUGAUCCGGUAACGACAAUGGAAUUGACUCCCAGCGUAAUCCGUUACGGCGGAACAAUUAUUUGACUUUGUUUGUUUACCGGCCACAGCGAGGUCCGUAAACUGAUAAUGAUGGGGGAGGACGGUAUCACUGCUGCUCUAGACCGUAUUCGAUCCCUCCGCUACUCAUUACGUUAUGACCCAACCAAACUUACAGUAAUGAGAUUGGAUGGCAUUGGGAAACGAUCACGGAAGAAAAUCAACCAACCAAACAGCUCCCUAUUGUCUUCCUCACUCAGUUUCCUGCCAUUUGGUAAGGUGAGGCUAGCUCCAGCAAGGGACCCUAAAGAGUUCUGUACCCUAAAUAUAGAGGAUCAAAUGGUACUCUACGCUCUCCAGCAGCGUCCUCUAAACGGUCCUCUAAAUUUAGAGGACGAUGCUGGAUUCUCUAUGUAUAGAGUUUCUCUAAACGGUCCUCUAUUCAUUUGAAUACUUUAAAUAACCGGUUUAGCAAAACUAAAAUAUGUACAAUACAUUUGAGAGUAUGACAAAUACGUAUGUACAAAAAAUAAAAAUAAAAAAUGUCUCUAAUAUAGAUAUUUGAGUAUAGAGGACGUCAUUUAGAGGAUGUUGUGUUGGAGAGGAAGGAGAUAUAGAGGAUGAAAUCUUUUAGAGAAGACUGUAAAUGAUGGAUAUAGAAGAUGAAUAUAGAGGACGUUGCUGGAGACAGCCUGAGGCUCGCCUAGGGAACCAAAUGUGCCCUUAGUUUAGUCUUUUAUUUUUUUGUACUUGUACGAAGCAAGGCAUCUAUGCAAGCAAAUGCAUACGUACAUGCAUAAGGAUGUAUAUAUUUGAGUACAUUUAGGUAGUUUCGGGGUUUUUUUUGAAAGUACAGUUACGUAGUUUCUACUAGUGCAGAAAUAGGUAAAUAGCUAACCGAAACUCAGAAGAAUAUGGAGAAAUCGUCAUCUGUCCCUCCGUCGCUGCAGACAUCCAUAAGGCUCGUCUCGCCGGCACCACUGGAGCCGAACACUUCAUGUACGACCUUCUCCACGUCCAGCGCUUCGGCCUCCACCACCGCGCCGGAGUUAGCAUCGUUUUCAUCAGGCGACGGGAUGAACGGCGGGCGCGCCACGUCGAGGACGCGGUCCCAGUCGACGCCUCUAAAGAAGGCGUGGCGCUUGACGCCGCGCGCGCCUAGUCGCUUCCCGGGGUCCUUCUCGAGGAGCCUGGUGAUGAGGUCGCACAACGGCGUCGCUUCGCCGGGCAGCUCCGGCGGCGCGGUGAGGACGCGGUGAAACGUCUCCCGCCGGCUCCGGCCCCGGAAUGGGGUGCAUCCGUACAGCAUCUCGUAGAUCACCACGCCGAGGCCCCACCAGUCCACGGCGUAGUCGUGCCCGCUGCCGGCUACGAUCUCCGGCGCCACGUAGUCCUCCGUGCCCACGAACGAGUUCGACUUGGCUGGCGUCCGAACGCCCGGCGGCGAGCAGCAUGACGACGAAGACGCGGACGGGGCAGUCAUGGAAGUGAACAACGGGGACUGGGGCGAAGCUACGUGGCGGCGGGAGAAGCACGCGAAAACCGUAGAUGCCUUCGUGUUCUUGUUCCUGCGCCUGUGGCGAUGUGAGGAAGGUAAAAGCGAGCUGGCGCGUGCUGGGGCCGCGUCCGGCGGCGGCGGGGGCAGAGGCGGCGGCAACGUGGUAGAGAGGUCGAAGUCGACGAGCAUGACGUGGCCUGAUUCCUGGAUGAGGACGUUCUCCGGCUUGAGGUCGCGGUACACGACGCCGAGGCCGUGAAGGUGCUCGAGCGCGAGCACCAGCUCCGCCGCGUAGAACCGGAUGACGGAUUCCGGGAACGUGGUCUGGGCGCGCCAGCGGCGCCGGAGCGACUUGAGGUCGCCGCCGGGGCAGCGGUUGAUGACGAAGCCGACGACGGCGUCGGUGGCCACGACGCCGCGGAGGGACGGGAGCAGCGGGUGGCGGAGCGCGAGCAGAACGUCGCGCUCGAACCAGAUCCUCCGGUGCCCGUCUCCGCCGCACGUGCCUCCUGCUGGCCCCGCCGCUCCCUUGUGCCGCGCGGCGGCGCGGGACAUGGCCUUGAGCGCCAUGGGCUCGCCCGCGCCUGCAGCGGUGCUGUCCCCGCCUGCGGCGACGGGCACGACGUGGAAGACCACGCCCCUGGCGCCCUGGCCGAGCACGGACAGUGCCUUGAGGUCCGCGAGGGCAAGGUUGAGCUGCUGCGGCAGUGAAGGCGCCAUGCUCGUUCACCACGGACGACGUGCCAAGAGGAAGAAGCUACUCCGGGUGCUGUUAUGUUGAGCGGCAGGGUCUGGCCUGGGUUUCCCUUUUUAGAUUCUUGAGGUGAUAGCUCUUCUGUGGGUUCGGUUUGCUUCUCCACGUCGAUCGAAAAUCCCCCUGCUCCUCUCGUUGAAAAUUCGUCCAGUUCAAAUUCACGUGUUACGUACGUGGCGUCCAAGACAAGACGCUGUCGCAUCUUCCAGAUCCAGCCACGCUUUUACCAACAGGAAAUCAAUGGCAGUCACAGGGCAACCAAUAUGGAACACACCUGAAAUGGAUUCACGUGAUGAGACGCGUCAGGGUCAGGGCCAGGUCAGGUGCGAUUUGUCGCCCAUGAUCCAUCCACCUCAGUAAAGAGCUGUGCACACGUCCUUCUUGUGAUCUACUGCUGCCAAGUGCCAAACUCUUGACUGAACGUCAACUGCCACAUGAAGUCAUGAACUUUGUCCAGGCCAGACGAGCUAGUUCCUGGACAGAGACCAGCUAUCGCCAGUUGUUUUCGUCCAGGUCACCUUAUCUAGAUCCAAGACAGCUUAGGUGUAACGUACGCAUGCAGUACGACUAGUACACAACGUCAUCGGCUGGAACUGGAAUUCAGCUUGGCCAUGGUCGCCACGGUCCAAACAACAUUCUCGUUGCUAAAGGCCAGCAGUUGGUGCUGUCUAGGGUUCGGUUAUUACAAAAUUUUGGCAUAAACCAAGCCGCCGAGAGCUCUGCACAUUGAUAGCUUUAGGGGAUCUGUUUGGUUCCUGGAACUAAUCUUUAGUCCCUGCAUUUUAAUCUCGUUUGAUCUCUAAUUUGUCAAACGGGUAGACUGUCCCUCAAGGAGUCACUAAAAGGAACUAAAGCAGUUUUUUUUUUGCACCGGUUGCCCUCGCAUUCAUCUCCCUCUCCCACACUACACUCCGAAGGUUCGACAUGUUUCUCCCCUUGUCGCCGCCGCUCGAUCCGCACAGCACCGCCCCCACGUCAAUCCACCCCGCGCCGCCCCUCAACGUUCAUCACAUCCCAGCUAGCAGUUUACUAACAUCUUCACUAAGACUAAGAGUCUUCCCUCCUUGUUGCUCUCAGAGUUCCGGUUCAGUUUCAACAUCGAUCAUAGCUAGAGUUUCGACAGUCAUAGGUGUUAGACUAUCUUAUUUCUUUCUAAAUGUUAUGGGCCUAGAGCCCAGGCCAUGCGACUCGGAUAUAUGUAAUACUCAGCCCACUCAAUGAACUAGGGUUUCAUUUUUUUCCCAAAGAUAUUUUGGCCCUCCUCAUCUACUUAUGUUACCACACAAAUGUACCUUCCUACCAUCUUUACUUAAACACUUUUCACAUGGUACCUUUGAUUGUGAGGCUUCAGAUUUUAGGAAUAGAUGGCUCACAUAAUCUGCAAACACCAUGUUUUUUCUAGAAAUCAUAGAACCAGUGUCUUGAAUUCACUAGUCACAUUUUUCACUCAAGUAAAAUCAACAAGUGACUAUCUAAGGAUGUAAAGGUCACAUUAGAAGCAAUCUAGAGAACAAAAAAAGGAGAGGUUAUGAAACAUGUUGUUUUUUCAUUAGAAGUGUACCACCAUUCAAGUGUUUGGUUAAAAGCAAUGAAAUUCUGUGGUUCACUGUGAAACUGGACCAACUUUACAAGUGGUAAGUAUUGCAGGAAGUUCAGGGGGAAAGUUAAAAUUGAAAAGGAACCUGGUUCCUGCAUGGGUCUGACUGAUUAUGCACAAGUGCCCUAUCCUUCGAAAAGCUACUGAUGCUUAUUCUUCACCUUCUCCAGCUGAAGAAGCUACGCAAGCUACGAUCACAGGAAUUAUCAUUAUGCAAUUACAUGUUGGGUUAGUUUGGUAAUGAACAAAACAAAGAUACGUGUGUUUCAUUGUCCUUGUUGCAAAGUGUGUAUUACUUUGCAACUGAAACGUUUGUUGAUCAACUGCACACAGAUACGUUUGUUUGAUCAUUCUGCAAUCACAAACAUUGUGUCUCUGUUGCAAAGUAUUACAGUACCAAAAACAGUUGCUAUCUUGCUUCAGACAGCAAAAUUACCAUUGACCUAUAAAACUAUAGGUGUUACUGGACCAGAACCAAGAAAUAGUCAAGCACAUUUGCAGUCUUAGUCUCACUACACACUAUAGCAGAUGAUAUACACAACAACAACAAAGGUGUUUACCCCCAAACCAAGUUCAGGUAGAAAGAUGAUAUACAUAGGACUAAGAAGAAAUAUAAGCAAGUUUGUAAUCUACAUGACUAAUCCACUGGAUUAGACAAUUGUUAUCAAAUGAUCUUCCAGCAAACUGACAUAAUAUAACAUCAAAAGGUAGCUCAACAACAUUCAUGUCCAGUUUUAAACUAGAUCAGAACUAAAAAACAAAGAAAAUAUUUACAUCCAAGUGGUUCACAGUACCAGCACUCCAAAUUAUGUGCACCCUUGGUGUCCAAUCCUCCAAACACGCCAGGGCUACAACCAAGCACCAGCAGGUGAUUGCAUUCUAUAACAUAUGGGAAUAUAAGCUGUUGUCAUGACAAUUGUAAAACCAUGGUUAUCAAAUAGGCCCUAAGCUGUUGACGAGCGUCAUCAACGGUAACCGGAGCUCGGUAACCAUGGAGAUGACCCUGUGCUUGCUACCCCAUUACUCAAACGGAGUCCUCCCGUGAGAGUGCCGAGUUCAGAAUCUGGAGCGUCGCGUCGAGGUCCACCUGCUUGCGCAGAGCGGCGAGCGAGGAGCCGGACUUGGUCGGAGAUGGCGUAAACCCGAAGGGGCACGGGACGGGGCCGACACCGGCAAGGCUGAGGCUACAGCGUGGGUGGCCGGGCGUCACCAUGGCACAGGCACGCAACCGUCGCCGCUGGUGCCGAUGAAGCUCGAGAGCCCGUCUGUCAUGAACCAUGUGUAGCCUGGUUUAAUACCACCUCGCUUGCAGGAGGAGGCUGUGGCCGGCUUAUAUGGGCGAGCUUCCCUCCUCUCUCAGGCUAGGUUUUGAGAUAUGAGUGAGGGUCUCGCUGCUGAAGGCCAGCCCACGAGCGUAUGAACACCCGAACGCAUGUAAGUGUGGGUUUUUCGGUGGACUGGUAACAAAUGGUAACGGAGCCCAGGCCCGCCUGUUAGGGGAUGGAAGAAAUAUCACGAACUAUGUGUAGCCUGGGUUAGUACCACCUCGCUUGCGGGAGGGGGCCACGGCCCCCUUAUAAGGGCGAGCUUCAUUCCUCUCUCAACCCGGGUUUUGAGAUGUGAGUGUGGAGCUCGCUGCUGAAGGCCGACCCACGAGCGCAUAAACGCCUGAGACUGACCCAGGUACGCUAACAAAUGGUAACGGAGCUCAGGCCCGCCUGUUUAGGGGAUGGAAUGUCACGAACUAUGUGUAGCCUGGGUUAGUACCACCUCGCUUGCGGGAGGGGGUCGUGGCCGGCUUAUAAGGGCGAGCUUCAUUCCUCUCUCAACCCGGGUUUUGAGAUGUGAGUGUGGAGCUCGCUGCUGAAGGCCGACCCACGAGCGCAUAAACGCCUGAGACUGGCCCAGGUUGUCGGCGUUUCGAGACAGGGGGGUCCCUAAGCCGACGAGUGAGUGUGCUGCGUGCCCCAGCCCAGAUGGGUCGAGCGCGUGGGCGAGCGCGAAGGGGGGAGAGGCGAGGUGGCCGGAGCCGAGCGUGAGAGAGGUGGAAGUUCCGCGGCCUUCGUGUUCGUCCCGCGCCCAGGUCAGGUGCGCUUGCAGUAGGGGGGUUACAAGCGUCCACGCGGGUGAGGGAAGCGAGCGGCCCCAAGAGAGCGCCUGUCCCGUCCUCGGUCCCGCGCGGCCAACCUUCUCUAAGAAGGCCCUGGUCCUCCCUUUUAUAGUCGUAAGGAGAGGAUCCAGGUGUACAAUGGGGGGUGUAGCAGAGUGCUACGUGUCUAGCGGAGGGAGAGCUAGCGCCCUAGGUACAUGCCAAUGUGGCAGCCGGAGAGAUCUGGGCACCCUGCUGGCGUGAUGUCGUGGCUGUCGGAGGUGCGGCGGAGCCUGGUGGAGGGACAGCUGUUGGAGCGGUCGAAUCCCUGCUGACGUCGUCCUGCUUUCGUAAGAGAGCUGGGGGCCGCCGUCGUCAUAGAGCUUGUGGAGCGCCAUCAUUGCCCUCCGGCGGAGCUGGCCGGAUGGGACGCCGGUCUUGUUCUUCGUGACCCGAGUCGAUUCGGGGUAGGAUGAUGAUGGCGCUUCCUGUCGACGUGGCGGUCUGUGCCCUAGGCAGGGCGACGUGGGGGUUCCUCCGAAGCCGAGGUUGAGUCUGCCUUCCGUUGCCGUGGCCGAGCCCGAGCCAUGGGGUCGGGCGAGGCGGAAGUCGUUCGGCCGAGGCCAGGGCGGAGUCCGAGCCCUGGGGUCGGGCGAGGCGGAAGUCGUUCGGCCGAGGCCAGGGCGGAGUCCGAGCCCUGGGGUCGGGCGAGGCGGAAGUUGUUCGGCCGAGGCCAGGGCGGAGUCCGAGCCCUGGGGUCGGGCGAGGCGGAGUUUCGUCGUCUUCCGGGUCUUAGCCCGAGUCCGAGCCCUGGGGUCGGGCGAAGCGGAGUUUCGUCGUCUUCCGGGUCUUAGCCCGAGUCCGAGCCCUGGGGUCGGGCGGAGCGGAGUUUCGUCGUCUUCCGGGUCUUAGCCCGAGUCCGAGCCCUGGGGUCGGGCGGAGCGGAGUUCGCCGUCUUCCGGGUCUUAGCCCGAGUCCGAGCCCUGGGGUCGGGCGGAGCGGAGUUUCGUCGUCUUCCGGGUCUUAGCCCGAGUCCGAGCCCUGGGGUCGGGCGGGGCGGAGUUCGCCGUCUUCCGGGUCUUAGCCCGAGUCCGAGCCCUGGGGUCGGGCGGGGCGGAGUUCGCCGUGGCGCCUUUGGCAAGGCCUACUGCCUGUCAGACUCACUCUGUCGAGUGGCACUGCAGUCGGAGUGGCGCAGGCGGCGCUGUCCUUCUGUCAGACUGGCCAGUGGAGAGGUAGAGUGACGGCGGUCACCUCGGCUCUGCCGGGGGCGCGUGUCAGGAUAGAGGUGUCAGGCCACCUUUGCGUUAAAUGCCCCUGCAAUUUGGUCAGUCGGUGUGGUGAUUUAGUCAAGGUUGCUUCUGAGCGAAGCCAAGGCCUUGGGCGAGCCGGUGAUGUGUCCGCCAUAAAAAGGGGGCCUCGGGCGAGACGGAAGUCUCUCGAGGUCGGCUGCCUUUGGCCGAGGCUAGGCUCGGGUGAAGCGUGAUCGAGUCACUCGUGUGGACUGAUCCCUGACUUAAUCGUACCCAUCAGGCCUUUGCAGCUUUAUGCUGAUGGGGGUUACCAGCUGAGAAUUAGGCGCCUUGAGGGUACCCCUAAUUAUGGUCCCCGACAGUAGCCCCCGAGCCUCGAAGGGAGUGUUAGCACUCGCUUGGAGGCUUUUGUCGCACUUUUUUGCAAGGGGACCAGCCUUUCUCGGUUGCAUUUCGUUCCGGUGGGUGCGCGCGAGCGCACCCGCCGGGUGUAGCCCCCGAGGCCUCGGAGGAGUGGUUACACUCCUUCGAGGUCUUAAUACUUCGCUUAACGCUUCGGCUGGUCUGGUCGUUCCCUCAUGCGAACUGGCCGUAGCCCGGGUGCACGGUCGGGGCCCAAGCUCUCGGGCUGGUAUGUUGACGCUGUCAACGAUUUGGCCGGAGCCGGUUUUUGCGAGAGCAGCCCCCGAGCCUCUGCACAGGGCGAGAGGACGAUCAGGGACAGACUCGGCUUUUUACAUACGCCCCUACAUCGCCUUUCCGCAAGGAGGAGGGGGGAGUGCGCCAUGUUACCCUCGAUGGGCACCGAACAUGGUGUCUCCGGUGAGCUGCAAGCGGGUAAUCCGAGUGGACGUCCGUGCCCCGUUCGUUGGGGGUCGGCUAGGGGCCCAGAGGCACGCCCAAAAGUACCUGCGGGUGAUUUGCCGGACCUGGUCCCCUGGCGACGGGGUCCGAGGGCUCGAUGCCUCCCUCCGAUGGGAUUCCGUUACAAGAUCGUUCCCGCUGGUCUCGGAAAUGUCCUAGGGUACCUCGGGAGCGCAGCCCGAGCCUCGGUUAUGUAUCGAACGUACCCCUGGUCAUCCCUCGCUCGGCGUCUGAGGCGACUGUGAACCCUUCGGGGGCCAGCCUUCGAACCCCUGAUCAGUAAUGGGCACGGAGCCCGAGUAGCCUGAGGCGGCCAUGGAACCCUUCGGGGGGCUGGCCUUCGAACCCCUGACCAGUAGUGGGUGUCGGGCCCACGCGAUCUGAGGCGGCUGUUGAACCCUUCGGAGGGCCAGCCUUCGAACCCCUGAUCAGUAGUGGGGGGCUCGGAGCCCGGUUCCUUCGCGGAGAAGGAUCCCUUUCGGGGUAUCCCCCUUUCCCGGUCCCUGUUGCAAGAGAUAGAGAAAGAGGAAAACGGCAAAGGAUACGAAAUCGGACGACGUGGCGUACCUUUUCUGAAGCGGUUAUUACGGCGAAGGUGAAGCGUCGCGCGCUCCUCCUGCCAGAAGCGCCGCGUGUCCCGCCGCGGAGUUAAUGCGACUGGGCGAGUGGUUGGCGGGGCGGCCGUUACGCGCGUGCGAUCCGUUCGAGGAACGGGUCACGGGUGCACCGUCUCCACGCCGUGAGAGGAGGCUCUCUUGCUGUCCCAGGAUGGGACGUGAGCCUGGCUGACGACGUGACCGCUGCGCCCGCCCGCCUGCCACCGCUAUUACUGCCGGCCCUCUUUCGGUCGCUUUGACCGACGCGCCAGGCUGGCGCUGUUGGGUCGCCUCGAGUCGCGGCAUUGGCUCCGCAACCGAAGAGGCGCGAUGGUGGCACAAGUGGCGGUGCGGUUGCUUGCAUGCAGCAACUGGCGCGCCGGUUGCUCGACGCGUGGGCCUGGGUUCCCAAGCUGGCGUGUCAGAAGUUGGAGAAGCGCGUCCAUCUGGCGCGGUUGCAUGCCGCCUGCAUGGCUGCCCGCCCCUUCUGCCCGUUGGUCUGGGCGGAAAUGGGGGGUCGCUUGUAACCGCUGGACGGUCGUGCGCACCACGCGCGGCGGUUCGGCUUCUUCUGCCCUGAGCCGACUUGCAUGACAUGCGGGACCCAGCCCCCGAGUCGCAGGGGAGGGCCUUGGAGCGUGUUGGAGAAGACUCGGCCCGCGGCGCCUGGGGGCGCACGUAGGGGGAGUUGCCUUUAAAAGGAGGGAGGCUCCUUUCGUAAGGCAACCAUGUCUUCUUCCUCCCUUAAGCGUCGGGUCUUCCCGUCUUCCAAGCCCCCGGAUGGGGGGUAUCCGCCGCCUUUCCGCCUCCUCGUUGGAGGAACGCAACUCCAUGGGAGUUGGUACCUCUCAGCCGUCGUUCGGCUUCAAGGAUUUUCAUUACGCAGCCUGGCCACGCUCCGCCACCGGUGGCCACCCAAGAUGGUGACCUCUAGUUCGACGGUGGGGAAAGCGGGCCAGGCCGCGGCCUCUACUCCUCCCUCGGCCUCAAGGAUUUUCGUCAUCCAGGCCAAGAUGGAAGAUGAGGCGAGUCGGGGGGCCGCCCCCGCGUGGGUCGGCUGCCCUUUUCUUCCCCCCGCGCCCGGGGGUGAAGGGCGUCCUUGAGCCCCACGGAGACUUCCUCCAGCCAUGCCGGGAUAUGUAGGGCGCUAGUGGCCCUGGAUCUCCGUCUCCCUGCCUGAAUGGCUGGUUCUCGUCCUCAGCGGGGGGAGUCCUCCUGCCGUGACACCUGCCCCAAAGCUGCUGCCUAAGCCGCUUCGCUGUCUAGGGCAGGGGUGGUUGUCGUCGCGGUUGGAACGGGCGGCAGUGAGCCGCUCAUCGUUCUUCAGUUACUCCGCAGGCCUUCCCCCUCGGAGGGGGGUUGUUCGUACCUGCGGAGGUGGGAACCGGAGUUCCGUUGGUAGUGGCAUCUCGAAUGCCAGUGUUUUUCGUUCAUUGUGGCUGUCGGGGCCUGAACAUGUAUGUAAUUUCGGCACGGAGCCGUGUUUUUUCCUCAUUUUCGAGCACUAAGUCUCGCCUGUUGAUUAUCUGAACCGCUUUACCAAGCAUGAGUCGCCCCGUGUCAAGGUGACGGGUGAGGUAUCCGUAUCCCGGAGGCGUAGGAAUCCCUCGGCCCGUUCGGCCUUGUUGUCUGGGGUUCCUCUAGCUUAGUUAAAGAGACCCCUCGGCCGCCCUUCGGUGGACCGAGGCCAGGGGUAGCGAUAUCAGUAUGAACAGAGGCGGAGUUGGCUCGAGAAUGGGAACCUGGUUGGCCGGAGCCUAGUCGUGUUGUCCGUCAGCGGAGCCGACGCCAAAGUCGAUCAGUCGAGGCCUCGGGUCGGGCUGGCGCCCUUGGAAGCCGGUUGACCGAGGCCCCAGGGGUAACCGGUUGAGCCGCCUGCUCGGGCCGGAUUCCCGGAGGAGCCCCUGGACCGCGGCGCCGCCCGAGGCUGGGUCGGGCUUUGCUGAAGACGUCGUCGAUGCCGAGGGUGCUACGGCUCCCUUCAGCGUGAAGACCUGAGCCUGCAGGAUCAGAUCAUCUUGUAGCGUGUGCUUUCUGCGGCCACCGAGGCCAGAAGAACACGCCCUCGCCGCGCUCGCGAAGCUGCGUCUUUUUUCCUCUUGUUUCGAGCAUCUGGACUCUGUCGGUAACAGGGAUGUUUGUGUGAGCGAGAGUUGCUUUUCGCGGAAGGGACGAGUGAGGUAUCCGUAUCCCCGAGGCGUGGGAAUCCCUCGGCUCGGUCGGCCUUGCCGCUUACGCGUACUUUCACCCGUCCAUGAGGCCCUGUCCCCGACUUAGUCGAGAAGGCUUGAAGGACUGCUUCGGCAGGAGAGCUUCCGAACGUGAAGACUUGUUCGGUCCACGGAAUCGCUUUAUCCGAGCGCAAGUUACUUAUCGCAGAAGGUGAUGAGUGAGGUAUCCGUAUCCCGGAGGCGUAGGAGUCCCUCGGCUCGGUCAGCCUUGGCUGCUUACGUGUACUCCGUCGUUUCCAGGAUCCGCUUUCCGAAGUAGUCAAGAGGCACGAAAGAAAUCCUGCUAAAAAGAGAUCCUUUUUCGAGGAAAAAUUCGACGCAGAGGGGGUCUCCCCCCUUUAGCCCCCGAGGGAGGGUCGGGCUUCGCCGAGGCUAAGCCGACCCUUCCUUGACGACUAAACUUUGCGUAGGUGCGAGGUAUAUGAACAACUUGAAAACAUCUUAAGGGUAGAAGCGACGUAGCUGUUUGAUGUUCCAAGCGUUGCCGUAGAUCUCGCCUUGAUUGCUGGCCAGCUUGUAUGUUCCGGGCUUCAGAACUUUGGCGAUGACGAAUGGCCCUUCCCAGGGGGGCGUGAGCUUGUGCCUCCCUUGGGCGUCUUGUCGCAGCCGAAGCACCAGGUCGCCCACCUGGAGUUCUCGGGACCGGACCCCUCGGGCGUGGUAGCGUCGCAGGGACUGUUGGUACCGCGCCGAGUGUAGCAAGGCCCUGUCCCGAGCUUCCUCCAGCUGGUCCAGCGAUUCCUCUCGGCUGGCUUGGUUGCUUUGUUCGGUGUAGGCCCUCGCCCUCGGGGAGCCGUAUUCCAGGUCAGUGGGCAAGACAGCUUCAGCCCCGUAGACCAGGAAAAACGGCGUGAAGCCCGUGGCACGACUCGGCGUCGUCCUUAGGCUCCAGACCACCGAGGGGAGUUCCUUCAUCCAUCGCCUGCCGAACUUGUUGAGGUCGUUGUAGAUCCGAGGCUUGAGCCCUUGUAGAAUCAUGCCGUUGGCACGCUCUACCUGCCCAUUCGACAUGGGAUGAGCCACGGCGGCCCAGUCCACCCGGAUAUGGUGAUCUUCGCAAAAAUCCAAGAAUUUUUUGUCGGUGAACUGGGUGCCGUUGUCGGUGAUGAUGGAGUUCGGGACUCCGAAGCGAUGGAUGAUGUUGGUGAAGAAUGCCACCGCCUGCUCGGACCCGAUGCUGUUCAGAGGUCGGACCUCGAUCCACUUGGAGAAUUUGUCGAUGGCGACCAGCAGGUGCGUGUAGCCCCCGGGCGCCUUCUGCAAGGGACCGACGAGGUCCAGACCCCAUACAGCGAAGGGCCAGGUGAUGGGUAUUGUCUGCAGAGCCUGAGCGGGCAGGUGUGUCCGCUUCGCAUAGAAUUGGCACCCUUCGCAGGUGCGGACAAUUCUAGUGGCGUCAGCCACCGCCGUUGGCCAGUAGAAGCCUUGCCGGAAAGCAUUUCCAACAAGGGCUCGGGGUGCUGCGUGGUGGCCGCAAGCCCCCGAGUGUACUUCUUGCAGCAGUUCCCGACCUUCGGCGAUGGAGAUGCAUCGCUGGAGGAUGCCCGAGGGGCUGCGAUGGUAGAGCUCCUCUUCGUCGCCCAGCAAGACGAAUGACUUGGCGCGUCGCGCUACCCGCCGAGCCUCGACUUGGUCGAGGGGUAGCUCUCCUCGACGGAGAUAUUGCAGGUACGGGGCCUGCCAAUCCUGGUCUGGCGCGGCCCCGCUCUGCCCUUCCUCGACGUUCAAUGCCCCGCCCUCGGGGGCUGAGGGUACCUCGGGCUGGGCCGAGGGUGCCUCGGGCUGAACCGAGGGUACCUCGGGCUGAGCCGAGGGUACCUCGGGCUGAGCCGAGGGUACCUCGGGCUGAGCCGAGGGUACCUCAGGCUCGGGCGCGUCGUCGAGCUUGACGGAGGGUUGAUGCAGAUCCCGGGAGAAGACGUCCGGGGGAACUGUCGUUCGCCCCGAGGCUAUCUUAGCCAGCUCGUCUGCGGUUUCGUUGUAGCGCCGAGCGAUGUGGUUGAGCUCGAGCCCGAAGAACUUGUCUUCCAGGCGCCGAACCUCGUCGCAGUAGGCCUCCAUCUUCGGGUCGCGGCAGUGGGAGUUCUUCAUGACUUGGUCGAUGACGAGCUGCGAAUCACCGCGGGCGUCGAGGCGUCUGACCCCUAGCUCGAUGGCGAUCCGCAAUCCGUUGACCAAAGCUUCGUACUCGGCCACAUUGUUGGACGCCGGGAAGUGGAGGCGCAGCACGUAGCGCAAGUGCUUUCCGAGGGGCGAGAUGAAGAGCAGGCCCGCGCCGGCCCCCGUCUUCAUCAGCGACCCGUCGAAAAACAUGGUCCAGAGCUCCGGUUGGAUCGGAGUCGUUGGCAGUUGGGUGUCGACCCAUUCGGCCACGAAAUCCGCCAACACUUAGGACUUGAUGGCCUUCCGAGGGGCGAACGAGAUCGUUUCGCCCAUGAUCUCCACCGCCCACUUUGCGAUCCUGCCCGAGGCCUCUCGGCACUGGAUGAUCUCCCCCAGGGGGAAGGAUGACACCACAGUUACCGGAUGGGACUCGAAGUAGUGUCGUAGCUUCCGCCUUGUCAGGAUCACAGCAUACAGCAGCUUUUGAACUUGUGGGUAGCGGAUCUUAGUCUCGGACAGCACUUCGCUGAUGAAGUAGACCGGCCUCUGAACGGGCAAUGUAUGCCCUUCCUCUUGCCUUUCGACCACAAUCGCGGCGCUAACCACUUGAGUGGUCGCGGCGACGUGGACCAAGAGGGUUUCUCCGUCCGCCGGCGGCACCAAGACUGGCGCCUUUGUAAGGAGCGCCUUCAGGUUGCCGAGGGCUUCCUCGGCCUCGGGGGUCCAAGCGAAACACUCGGCCUUCCUUAAGAGGAGGUACAGAGGCAGACCUCUUUCGCCGAGGCGUGAGAUGAAGCGGCUCAGGGCCGCGAGGCAUCCCAUGACCCCCUGUACCCCUUUUAAGUCCUUGAUGGGUCCCAUGCUGGUGAUGGCCGCAAUCUUCUCCGGGUUGGCUUCGAUGCCUCGCUCGGAGACGAUGAACCCUAGGAGCAUGCCUCGGGGCACCCCGAAGACACACUUCUCAGGAUUAAGCUUGACUCCUUUCGCCUUGAGACACUGGAAUGUCACUUCAAGGUCGGAGAGGAGGUCGGAAGCCUUCCGUGUCUUGACUACGAUGUCAUCGACGUAGGCCUCGACUGUGCGACCGAUGUGUUCGCCGAACACAUGGUUCAUGCACCGCUGGUACGUCGCGCCCGCAUUCCUCAAGCCGAACGGCAUGGUGACAUAGCAGUACAUGCCGAACGGUGUGAUGAAAGAAGUCGCGAGCUGGUCGGACUCUUUCAUCCGAAUCUGGUGAUACCCCGAGUAGGCAUCGAGGAAGGACAGGGUUUCGCACCCAGCAGUGGAAUCCACGAUUUGGUCGAUGCGAGGCAGAGGGUAGGGAACCUUCGGACAUGCUUUGUUGAGACCAGUGUAGUCUACACACAUCCGCCAUUUCCCCCCUUUCUUCCUCACAAGCACAGGGUUGGCAAGCCAUUCAGGAUGGAAUACCUCUUUGAUGAACCCCGCCGCCAUUAGCUUGUGGAUCUCUUCGCCAAUCGCUCUGCGCUUCUCCUCGUCGAAUCGGCGCAGAGGCUGCCUGACGGGUCGGGCUCCGGCCCGAAUAUCCAGCGAGUGCUCGGCGACAUCCCUCGGUACGUCGGGCAUGUCCGAGGGACUCCACGCAAAGACGUCGGCGUUUGCGCGGAGAAAGUCGACGAGCACUGCUUCCUAUUUGGGGUCGAGCCCGGAACCGAUCCGGAUCUGCUUGGUGGUGUCGCCACUGGGGUCGAGGGGGACGGCCUUGACCAUCUCCGCUGGCUCGAAGUUGCCGGCAUGGCGCUUCACGUCUGGGACCUCCUUGGAGAGGUUCUCCAGGUCGGCGAUGAGGGCCUCGGACUCGGCGAGGGCCUCGGCGCACUCCACGCACUCCACGUCGCAUUCGAACGCGUGUUUGUACGUGGGGCCGACGGUGAUGACCCCGUUGGGGCCCGGCAUCUUGAGCUUCAGGUAGGUGUAGUUGGGGACGGCCAUGAACUUCGCGUAGCAUGGCCUCCCUAGCACGGCGUGGUAGGUUCCUCGGAACCCGACCACUUCGAACGUCAGGGUCUCCCUUCGGAAGUUGGAGGGUGUUCCGAAGCAGACUGGGAGGUCGAGUCGCCCGAGGGGCUGGACGCGCUUCCCAGGGAUGAUCCCGUGGAAGGGCGCAGCGCCUGCUCGGACGGAGGACGGAUCGACGCGCAGAAGCUUGAGGGUCUCGGCGUAGAUGAUGUUGAGGCAGCUGCCCCCGUCCAUCAGGACCUUGGUGAGCCUGACAUCGCCGACAACGGGGUCGACGACGAGCGGGUAUUUCCCCGGGCUCGGCACAUGGUCGGGGUGGUCGGCCCGGUCGAAAGUGAUGGGCUUGUCGGACCAGUCUAGGUAGACUGGCGCCGCCACCUUCACCGAGCAGACCUCCCAGCGCUCUUGCUUGUGGUGCCGAGCCGAGGUAUUCGCCGCAUGCCCUCCAUAGAUCAUGAAGCAGUCGCGGACCUCGGGGAACCCCCCUGCUGGGUGAUCUUCGUUCUUGUCGUCGUCGUGGGCCCUGCCACCCUCGGCGGGUGGCCCGGCCCUGUGGAAGUGACGCCGAAGCAUAACGCACUCCUCGAGGGUGUGCUUGACGGGCCCCUGAUGGUAGGGGCACGGCUCCUUGAGCAUCUUGUCGAAGAGGUUCGCACCUCCGGGGGGCUUCCGAGGGUUCUUAUACUCGGCGGCGGCGACAAGGUCCGCGUCGGCGGCGUCGCGUUUCGAUUGCGACUUCUUCUUGCCUUUCUUCUUGGCGCCGCGCGGAGCAGACGCCUCGGGAGCUCCUUCCGAUGGGCGGCCCUGGGGCUGCUUGUCCUUUCGGAAGAUAGCCUCGACCGCCUCCUGGCCGGAGGCGAACUUGGUGGCGAUGUCCAUCAGCUUGCUCGCCCUGGUGGGGGUUUUGCGACCCAGCUUGCUCACCAGGUCGCAGCAAGUGGUGCCGUCGAGGAACGCGCCGAUGACAUCCGAGUCGGUGAUGUUGGGCAGCUCGGUGCGCUGCUUAGAGAAUCGCCGGAUGUAGUCCCGGAGCGACUCCCCCGGCUGUUGCCGGCAGCUUCGAAGGUCCCAGGAAUUCCCGGGGCGCACGUAUGUGCCCUGGAAAUUGCCAGCGAAGGCUUGGACCAAGUCGUCCCAGUUGGAAAUCUGCCCCGGAGGCAGGUGCUCCAACCAGGCGCGAGCAGUGUCGGAGAGGAACAGGGGGAGGUUGCGGAUGAUGAGGUUGUCGUCGUCCGUUCCACCCAGUUGGCAGGCAAGGCGGUAGUCCGCGAGCCACAGUUCCGGUCUCGUUUCCCCCGAGUACUUUGUGAUAGUAGUCGGGGGUCGGAACCGGGUCGGGAAUGGCGCCCGUCGGAUGGCCCGACUGAAGGCCUGCGGACCGGGUGGUUCGGGCGAGGGACUCCGAUCCUCCCCGCUGUCGUAGCGCCCCCCCACGCCUGGGGUGGUAGCCUCGGCGCACCCUUUCGUCGAGGUGAGCCCGACGGUCGCGUCGAUGGUGCUCGUUGCCGAGGUGGCCCGGGGCCGCAGGCGCGGUGUUGCGCGUGCGCCCGGUGUAGACCGAGGCUUCCCGCAUGAAUCGGGAAGUCGCGGCAUGAGGUUCCGAGGGAUAUCCUUGCCUCCGGGAUGCAGUGCUCUCGGCCCGCCGGGCCGCAGCGCCUUCCAGGAGAUUCUUGAGUUCUCCCUGGAUUCGCCGACCCUCGGUGGUUGACGGCUCCGGCAUCGCGCGGAUGAGCAUCGCUGCGGUUGCCAGGUUCUGACCGACCCCGCUGGAUGCGGGCGGCGGCCUGAUCCUGACAUCGUUGGCGACGCGGUGCUGGAGACCUUGGGGCAGAUGACGUAUUUCUCCGGCCAGGGGUUGGCCCACCCAUGCCUGUCCGACGUCCCGACGGAUCGGCUCAAGCGCUCCUGUUCCCUCGUUGAGCCUGGCCUGCGCCUCGCGGACUUGCUCGAGUUGUGGGUCGUAACCCCCCGCCGGAGCGGGGACCACAACUAGCUCCCGUGGGAUGUCGGCGCGAGGCACCGGCCUGGGGAGAUCACCAUCCUCCGGCAUGCCAAGAUGGUUGCCUUCGGUGGGAUCCCCUAGCUCGAUGUGGAAACAUUCGCGGCUUGGGCCGCAGCUCUCGUCGCCAAGGCUGCGGCUUCCAUCGGAACAGUCGGAUAGACAGUAGUCACAUGCGGUCAUGAAGUCCCGCACGGCACUGGGGUUGCCAAGUCCGGAGAAAUCCCAACCGAUGCUGGGAUCGUCAUCUUCCUCGGACCCAGAGGGCCCGUAGGUCGAGACGUCCGUCAGUCGGUCCCAAGGCGACCGCAUACAGAACCUCAGUGGGGUUGCACUCGCCUCAAUGAGAGCGCCCGCCAAAACGAGGUCGUUUGGCGGGUUGAGGCCGAGUCGAAAUGACGCAAGAUGGGAGUUAGUCGUUACCUUUCGGUCGACGAGGAGCGACGUAGUCACAUCGGGGACUGGUUGCGCCGUCAUCUCUGGUUCGAGGGCGACGUCCUGCAGGCUUUCCGCGAGCGCGCCGGCGUCGUCUUCUUGCUCAAGGUCAGCGUGCCGCGGGGGGACGGCGCUCGCCUCCGUCUCGAACGCGAGGUCGACGUCCGGCGUGCCUUCCGUCGGGGCGUCGGGGGCGUCGAUUCGCUCGACGGCCGACGAAGCGCGGCCUCCCGUCUGGCCUUGACGGCUCCGCCUCCUCCUCCGUUGGCGGGGGAGAGAACGGAGCGAGCCCGAAUAUUGCUCUUCCACCACGCGGGGAAGACGUCGUCGAUUCCGCCGCCGGCGGGCGGGUUGUCGGCCGCCAUUGUCGUAGUCGCGCGGCGGUGGAAGAAGUGUCAUGUCGUAGCUGCCGUCGAAGGACAUGAACUCGAGAGUCCCGAAACGAAGCACCGUCCCGGGCCGGAGAGGUUGCUGGAGACUGCCCAUCUGGAGCUUGACGGGGAGCUGUUCGUCAGCACGCAGCCGUGCCCCUACCUGGCGCGCCAACUGUCGGCGUUUCGAGACAGGGGGGUCCCUAAGCCGACGAGUGAGUGUGCUGCGUGCCCCAGCCCAGAUGGGUCGAGCGCGUGGGCGAGCGCGAAGGGGGGAGAGGCGAGGUGGCCGGAGCCGAGCGUGAGAGAGGUGGAAGUCCCGCGGCCUUCGUGUUCGUCCCGCGCCCAGGUCAGGUGCGCUUGCAGUAGGGGGGUUACAAGCGUCCACGCGGGUGAGGGAAGCGAGCGGCCCCAAGAGAGCGCCUGUCCCGUCCUCGGUCCCGCGCGGCCAACCUUCUCUAAGAAGGCCCUGGUCCUCCCUUUUAUAGUCGUAAGGAGAGGAUCCAGGUGUACAAUGGGGGGUGUAGCAGAGUGCUACGUGUCUAGCGGAGGGAGAGCUAGCGCCCUAGGUACAUGCCAAUGUGGCAGCCGGAGAGAUCUAGGCACCCUGCUGGCGUGAUGUCGUGGCUGUCGGAGGUGCGGCGGAGCCUGGUGGAGGGACAGCUGUUGGAGCGGUCGAAUCCCUGCUGACGUCGUCCUGCUUUCGUAAGAGAGCUGGGGGCCGCCGUCGUCAUAGAGCUUGUGGAGCGCCAUCAUUGCCCUCCGGCGGAGCGGGCCGGAUGGGACGCCGGUCUUGUUCUUCGUGACCCGAGUCGAUUCGGGGUAGGAUGAUGAUGGCGCUUCCUGUCGACGUGGCGGUCUGUGCCCUAGGCAGGGCGACGUGGGGGUUCCUCCGAAGCCGAGGUUGAGUCUGCCUUCCGUUGCCGUGGCCGAGCCCGAGCCAUGGGGUCGGGCGAGGCGGAAGUCGUUCGGCCGAGGCCAGGGCGGAGUCCGAGCCCUGGGGUCGGGCGAGGCGGAAGUCGUUCGGCCGAGGCCAGGGCGGAGUCCGAGCCCUGGGGUCGGGCGAGGCGGAAGUCGUUCGGCCGAGGCCAGGGCGGAGUCCGAGCCCUGGGGUCGGGCGAGGCGGAAGUUGUUCGGCCGAGGCCAGGGCGGAGUCCGAGCCCUGGGGUCGGGCGAGGCGGAGUUUCGUCGUCUUCCGGGUCUUAGCCCGAGUCCGAGCCCUGGGGUCGGGCGAAGCGGAGUUUCGUCGUCUUCCGGGUCUUAGCCCGAGUCCGAGCCCUGGGGUCGGGCGGAGCGGAGUUUCGUCGUCUUCCGGGUCUUAGCCCGAGUCCGAGCCCUGGGGUCGGGCGGAGCGGAGUUCGCCGUCUUCCGGGUCUUAGCCCGAGUCCGAGCCCUGGGGUCGGGCGGAGCGGAGUUUCGUCGUCUUCCGGGUCUUAGCCCGAGUCCGAGCCCUGGGGUCGGGCGGGGCGGAGUUCGCCGUCUUCCGGGUCUUAGCCCGAGUCCGAGCCCUGGGGUCGGGCGGGGCGGAGUUCGCCGUGGCGCCUUUGGCAAGGCCUACUGCCUGUCAGACUCACUCUGUCGAGUGGCACUGCAGUCGGAGUGGCGCAGGCGGCGCUGUCCUUCUGUCAGACUGGCCAGUGGAGCGGUAGAGUGACGGCGGUCACCUCGGCUCUGCCGGGGGCGCGUGUCAGGAUAGAGGUGUCAGGCCACCUUUGCGUUAAAUGCCCCUGCAAUUUGGUCAGUCGGUGUGGUGAUUUAGUCAAGGUUGCUUCUGAGCGAAGCCAAGGCCUUGGGCGAGCCGGUGAUGUGUCCGCCAUAAAAAGGGGGCCUCGGGCGAGACGGAAGUCUCUCGAGGUCGGCUGCCUUUGGCCGAGGCUAGGCUCGGGUGAAGCGUGAUCGAGUCACUCGUGUGGACUGAUCCCUGACUUAAUCGUACCCAUCAGGCCUUUGCAGCUUUAUGCUGAUGGGGGUUACCAGCUGAGAAUUAGGCGCCUUGAGGGUACCCCUAAUUAUGGUCCCCGACAAGGUACGCUAACAAAUGGUAACGGAGCUCAGGCCCGCCUGUUUAGGGGAUGGAAUGUCACGAACUAUGUGUAGCCUGGGUUAGUACCACCUCUCUUGCGGGAGUGGGCCGUGGUCGGCUUAUAAGGGCGUGCUUCAUUCCUCUCUCAACCCGGGUUUUGAGAUGUGAGUGUGGAGCUCGCUGCUGAAGGCCGACCCACGAGCGCAUGAACGCCCGAACGCAUGUCGAGUGUGGGUUUUUCGGUGGACUGGUCCAGGUACGCUAACAAAUGGUAACAUAGCUCAGGCCCGCCUGUUUAGGGGAUGCAAUGUCACGAACUAUGUGUAGCCUGGGUUAGUACCACCUCGCUUGCGGGAGGGGGCCGUGGCCGGCUUAUAAGGGCGAGCUAAUUCCUCUCUCAACCCGGGUUUUGAGAUGUGAGUGUGGAGCUCGCUGCUGAAGGCCGACCCACGAGCGCAUAAACGCCUGAGACUGGCUCAGGUACGCUAACAAAUGGUAACGGAGCUCAGGCCCGCCUGUUUAGGGGAUGGAAUGUCACGAACUAUGUGUAGCCUGGGUUAGUACCACCUCGCUUGCGGGAGGGGGCCGUGGUCGGCUUAUAAGGGCGAGCUUCAUUCCUCUCUCAACCCGGGUUUUGAGAUGUGAGUGUGGAGCUCGCUGCUGAAGGCCGACCCACGAGCGCAUGAACGCCCGAACGCAUGUCGAGUGUGGGUUUUUCGGUGGACUGGUCCAGGUACGCUAAUGUCGGGGACCAUAAUUAGGGGUACCCUCAAGGCGCCUAAUUCUCAGCUGGUAACCCCCAUCAGCAUAAAGCUGCAAAGGCCUGAUGGGCACGAUUAAGUCAGGGAUCAGUCCACACGAGUGACUCGAUCACGCUUCACCCGAGCCUAGCCUCGGCCAAAGGCAGCCGACCUCGAGAGACUUCCGUCUCGCCCGAGGCCCCCUUUUUAUGGCGGACACAUCACCGGCUCGCCCAAGGCCUUGGCUUCGCUCAGAAGCAACCUUGACUAAAUCACCACACCGACUGACCAAAUUGCAGGGGCAUUUAACGCAAAGGUGGCCUGACACCUCUAUCCUGACACGCGCCCCCGGCAGAGCCGAGGUGACCGCUGUCACUCUACCGCUCCACUGGCCAGUCUGACAGAAGGACAGCGCCGCCUGCGCCACUCCGACUGCAGUGCCACUCGACAGAGUGAGUCUGACAGGCAGUAGGCCUUGCCAAAGGCGCCACGGCGAACUCCGCCCCGCCCGACCCCAGGGCUCGGACUCGGGCUAAGACCCGGAAGACGGCGAACUCCGCCCCGCCCGACCCCAGGGCUUGGACUCGGGCUAAGACCCGGAAGACGGCGAACUCCGCCCCGCCCGACCCCAGGGCUCGGACUCGGGCUAAGACCCGGAAGACGGCGAACUCCGCUCCGCCCGACCCCAGGGCUCGGACUCGGGCUAAGACCCGGAAGACGACGAAACUCCGCUUCGCCCGACCCCAGGGCUCGGACUCGGGCUAAGACCCGGAAGACGACGAAACUCCGCCUCGCCCGACCCCAGGGCUCGGACUCCGCCCUGGCCUCGGCCGAACAACUUCCGCCUCGCCCGACCCCAGGGCUCGGACUCCGCCCUGGCCUCGGCCGAACGACUUCCGCCUCGCCCGACCCCAGGGCUCGGGCUCGGCCACGGCAACGGAAGGCAGACUCAACCUCGGCUUCGGAGGAACCCCCACGUCGCCCUGCCUAGGGCACAGACCGCCACGUCGACAGGAAGCGCCAUCAUCAUCCUACCCCGAAUCGACUCGGGUCACGGAGAACAAGACCGGCGUCCCAUCCGGCCAGCUCCGCCGGAGGGCAAUGAUGGCGCUCCACAAGCUCUAUGACGACGGCGGCCCCCAGCUCUCUUACGGAAGCAGGACGACGUCAGCAGGGAUUCGACCGCUCCAACAGCUGUCCCUCCACCAGGCUCCGCCGCACCUCCGACAGCCACGACAUCACGCCAGCAGGGUGCCCAGAUCUCUCCGGCUGCCACAUUGGCAUGUACUUAGGGCGCUAGCUCCCCCUCCGCUAGACACGUAGCACUCUGCUACACCCCCCAUUGUACACCUGGAUCCUCUCCUUACGACUAUAAAAGGGAGGACCAGGGCCUUCUUAGAGAAGGUUGGUCGCGCGGGACCGAGGACGGGACAGGCGCUCUCUUGGGGCCGCUCGCUUCCCUCACCCGCGUGGACGCUUGUAACCCCCCUACUGCAAGCGCACCUGACCUGGGCGCGGGACGAACACGAAGGCCGCGGGACUUCCACCUCUCUCACGCUCGGCUCCGGCCACCUCGCCUCUCCCCCCUUCGCGCUCGCCCACGCGCUCGACCCAUCUGGGCUGGGGCACGCAGGACACUCACUCGUCGGCUUAGGGACCCCGCUGUCUCGAAACGCCGACAGCUAACAAAUGGUAACGGAGCUCAGGCCCGCCUGUUUAGGGGAUGGAAUGUCACGAACUAUGUGUAGCCUGGGUUAGUACCACCUCGCUUGCGGGAGGGGGGCGUGGCCGGCUUAUAAGGGCGAGCUUCAUUCCUCUCUCAACCCGGGUUUUGAGAUGUGAGUGUGGAGCUCGCUGCUGAAGGCCGAUCCACGAGCGCAUAAACGCCUGAACGCAUGUCGAGCGUGGGUUUUUCGGCAGACUGGCCCAGGUACGCUGACAGUGUCCUGGCGAGGCCGAGGCCGCAGCGUGGAUGGCGGGGCGUCGCCAUGGCACAGGCUCGCCGCUACCGCCGCUGUCGGUGCCAAUGAAGCGCAGGAGCCCGUUCCGGCGAGGUUGAGGGCCGCCGCCGGCGUAGGUGCUGAUAAAGCACGGGAGUAGGAAGCUAGGUACGAUAGGGGUCAUUGUGGCAAUGUUGCAAACAUUUGGUGCGUGUUCUGGGAUGCAAGGGAUGGUGAGGGGUGAGCUCAAAGGGCGGCCGUGCAAAUGAAGCAAAUGGGUCAAUGGGAUUGUUGUAGUUGGGACCUUGGGUCUUGGGAGCAGCUGACAAGAAGGCGGUGCGAGGGAAAGAAGAUGAACAAAUGAAAGCUUUCACUUCCAGCACCAGGGCGCUGGACCGCUGCGCGCUGGCGAACAAAAGGAAAGAGGAAGAAGCAGUGCGGCACCGUGGCGGUGGAGGAUCCAUUGCCGACGAGGUAGAGCCGGGAGCGAAACACAUUGUUCUUCAACAGCAGCAGCAGCUCAGGGGCACCUUCGUCCUCUGUGGGUAUGUCCACGAGCAGUUACCAUUGAUGGCUGUCGAGAGCUGUUAAACUUGCGAGGUCCUCGGCCCCUCACCCCCUCCACGACUCCAUCAGGCACUCUCACUCGUCGUCGCCGUCCAGCCCACAGGCCACAUACCUCCGCUAGUCUGUCUGCAUUGCACUCGUCGGCUGGGUGCCCCUAUGCCCUCCACGGCUCCGCCCCGCCCAAAGGCCUCCGCCGAUGUCGCAACGAGCGACGGUCUUCACCUGCAGCCUACACGGCUGCGCCCGCCACUGGUCGCCCGCACAUGCCCACCUCCGCUUGGCGGCAGCUGGACUCUGCCCGUCCACCUUUCGUCCUCCACCUUCUUUGCGGCUGGGAAGGAGGGAACUGGGCAAGCUAACUCGUCGUGAGUUGCAAUAGAGAACCGAGAGUAGGUCUGGACAUAAAAAACGAAAACCAAACUCCGGAACCGAAAAAACCGGAACUAAUCAAACCAUAGUAUUUUUCGGUUAUCAUUUUUCAGAAAACCGAUAUUUAGUUUGGUUUUCGGAUUCUAGCUCAGUUUAAACUAAAAAAUCGAGCUUUCAACAUACCAGCUAAGGUUUCCCUUUUUGGCCCAAGUGUACACCUCCAUUCCGCUUCUGCGCGUGGCCUGCUCUUCUCAAUCGCACCAGUCGCCAGUGCCUCACGCUGCCAGGGCCUAGUGCCAGUCACUGAAACUCAACUGUGCUGUGCUGCCUGUGCAUGCCAAAGCGACUAAUGAAUUCCCUCACGGUCAUGGCCCAUGUCGCCAUGCGAAAGCGCACACGCUCCCUCAGCUCAGCGCAAGUCGCCAUUAGCUGCCUUGUUGGGCGCUGCAGUAGAUGGUCAUGACGCGACGGCUGGUCGGGAUGGGGAGGAGCGAUGCCACUUCAUCAACUUACUAGGUGAGUGUCCAUGCGUUGCAACGGAACCGUAUAAUAACACGAUAACUUAUUUACAUAUGUGUUGUAUUGUUAUAGGUAUAUGGCCGUGUGUUGCGACAGAAGUAAAAAGUUUGUAUCAAACAUUGAUAAGGAUGAAUCUCCCAUGACAAUGCCACAAAACAAAAGGUUCUCGAUGUAAAGACCAACUUUGAAACCAAUUAAAUUGAGUCAUUGUGUGUUAUACUUAUACUCUGUUCUAUGUAUGAGUAUCUCUCGAGCUUGAAGUAGAAUAUAGCUGUGGGCAUGAUUGCUUCUACGUUAGUUAGUUUUCAGUUUGAAGUAGAAUAUAAUUGUGGGCAUGAUUGGUUGAUGUACAUAUAUUGCAGCACAUCUCUGCCAAAACAUGCCCCAGUUUGUUUGCCACGCCCUAGGGCACCGUUUGACAAAGGCCCUAGGGCAGCCUAAACUUCAACUACCACGUUGUCAAGAAAUGGAACUGAGCGGGAACGUGGUCCGGAAGCUGGUGAAGAGGGCCAUGACGACGCAGACCAGCAUGAUGAUGAGCACCUCCGACGAGAAGUCCCACGUCAGGUUCCUGAAGUAGAUGAGCGCCAGGAACACGCCGAGGCACAGCGUGUUGUUCAUCAUCACGCAGCCGUACACCUGCCCCAACAAUCAUUAGAAGAAAGCCCGUUGCAGGCGUACGCUAGUGUUUUGUCAGCGGGGCAACAUUAACUAACUACCCAGGCGCAUACCUCGGAGAAGGUGAGGGAGCAGGUCCUCUGCUUCUUCCUGCUGGCAAAGAUGAUGGCGGAGACGGCCUCGCUGGAGUUGGUGGCGAGCGGGAGGGCGAUGAAGGAGAUGAAGAAGGACGGGAUGCGCGUGGCGUUGGAGAAGUCGUGGACGACGUCCACAAGCGGGUCGGAGAACGCGGCCGCGGCGGCGGAGCCCAGCAGCAGCAGCGCCACGGCCUUGGCUAUGCACCACCUGGGGUUCUCCACGCUCUCCACCGCCUCGUCGGACCUAUCGACCAGCUCGUCGUGCUCCUGCCUCGUCCUCUGCACAGUCCCAUUCCAUUCCAUUCAGUCAGUGCAUAGUUCCUAAUAACCCACUGGAGGCUGUCCUCUCCUGUACCUCGUGGUACUCGUGGAUGAACUUGCUGGAGAAGGCGCCGCCCACGGGCACGCUACGCCUGGCCUCGUCCAGCCACUUCCCCAUCCCCUGCACGAACUCCUCCUCCUCGACGACGUCGUUGCGGGACGUGUCGAAGUCGUCCAUGACCUUGUCCACCGCGUCCGUCCUGUCGAAGUCGACCUCCUCGAAGUUGAUGCCGACAAUGAGGGCGUGGAGCUCGGCGCGGGACAGGGACCGGCUCUCGUCCAUGACGAUCUUGCGGAACAGCCUGCACGAUCGAAAACAUUGUGCUAAGCUCCUAGCUAGGGGCACGCAGCAGGCAGCAGUUGAGAGAGGGAAGGAUCGCACUUUCUGAUGACUUGUUCAUUGGGCGUGCCGUCGUCGUUCAGCAGGCGGCCGAGCGUCUGCAUCUAGGCGUGCCUCAGUAUUCCGGAGAUCACGUGCUUGUGCUUCGCGUACACGAGCUUCCUCCUCUGAAUCCAAGGCUGGAAAACCUGGUGCAGGGAUUUCAGAGGAUCCAGUUUCACCGUCUUAAAGUUUUUUUACCCUUAACAAUCUAGUAGAGUCGUCGCUCCCUGUCAGAAACGUAUAUAUCUCGUUUACUUGGUACAGGCAGUAGGCAAGCACGAGCGCGAACGACACAACAAGGGCCAGCAGCAUGGUGAGGCGCUGCCCGUGGUGCGUCUUCAACAUCUUGGGGAACUGAGCGAUGAUGAAGGGGAUGACAAAUAGCCCCAUGAUCCGUGCCGCGUAGCUGGUCUGCACGUCGGUCGUAACACCAGUGCCUGCCACCGAUCUUGGCAGUCAGUAAAAAAGAACGCAAUUGUUCAUAAUUACCAGCUUUAGCAUCCUCUCUUUGGAAAUGGAGAGCUGAAACCUUUGUUGUCAGCGUCCUACUUCGAAAUCACAUGAUAAACAACCAACGGAUAUAGAGAUGAAGCAAUGUACCAGUCAAGCUGAAGCCCUUGGUGUCUGUGACAUCUACUGCCUCAUGGCCUGGCGAGGUCACACUUGCCAACGACGACACAGGUUCCCCAGAGCAGGGUGAGGAGGAAGACGGUGGAACCGGCGAGCAGCCCCAUCCCGAUCAGCACCUGGCUCUACGCCUCCUCUUUGCUCCCGGAGAGGUCGGACACUGCAACACGUGAUCAACAGACAGAUGAGGACAAACCAUGAUAAUGAUCUGAUCAGGGAUCCGGUCGUUGUUGAACAAGGCAACAAGGUACACUGGCUGCGAUACUUGGAUCGCAGAUCGCAGCAGCGAGAUCUGAUCUGCUGUGCUUAGUUCUGAUCCACUGUGUUAGUACUGUGACAACGUCAGAAUCUGCACAUACACAUAACCUUCCCCAUACUACUGUUUCGCAGCACAAGAAGCUUUAUGGUUUGGUAAAUAAACGUGUACUGCUUGCUGUAGUAAUUUUUUUUAAAAAUGGACAAUUAUGCAAAGGCACGUAGAAGUGAAAGGGAAAAAGUCAAAAGGCUUUGCUGGAUUGGAUCUUGCUUUCAGCCUUUCAGAAAGCUAAAAACUAACCAACUGACGAAUUUCAGAAAACAAACAGGGUAAGAGAGAAAAAAUGUAGAAUAGCCAAAAAAAGCUUAUACCCUGGUGAUGUGCCCAUGCGUUGCUUAGUGAUGGUGAUGAAAUGCGUCCUUGGGAGAGACAACUCUUGGUUUCAACUGCCUCAUUCAAAUCCAACAGUUGUUUUCAAUGAAACCUUGUUAGCAAUGAAGUUUUGAAAGUAAUAUAAUGAAAGAACGAAAUUGAUUCUUUACACAAAAAAUGCAAUAGAAGAACAACUAGCAGAAAUAUAGCAUGUUUUCACGACAAAUACACCCUUUUCACUUUUAUUAUAGGAUAAAAAACCCUGGCACCUAAAAAGACCGAUGAAAUUCCAAGCAGCGGCUCAAUGUAGGAUCCAACAUUUGUUUCCUGACAAUGAACUAACCAAUUUUGAUGCACAAUUUAUACCAGCACAUGUAAAUCAAGAUGAAAUUGUUAAUGAGAGGCACUAAGUUAUCAAGAUGAACUGGACCGAUCGACUAAUCCCACCGCUCAGAUCCCUCGACGCGCCCAGAUCAAUCAAACCAAGCAGCGGCUCAGGAACCGGAGCACUCGAAAAACAAAAGCGCGGGGUGAAUGGAGAUGGAGGCAUGGAGCAGACAGACGUACCAGUGGAUGCGUCGCUGGGUACGGCCCCCUCGCGUAGCUGCCGUCGCUGAGGCCCACGUCCACCCUGCGCGCAGCCGCACAGCACAGUCAAUCCAGAUCCAACAUAAAAUACAAAACCUGAGGUGAGGAGGUCUUGAGCACAUCGACACGCUGAACCGGGACACAGGCAAACGCUAGAACUUCCGAUUUCUAAUAAAGUUGGGAUGAGCCUUUGAUCUAAACAGAAAGAAAAAAGAGGCAAAACCAAAUUUACGGCCCCUGGAAGACUCGGCAAAGCAAAAUGUCGAACCUCGACGGUGGGGUUGCCGCGGCUGAUGAAGAUCUGCCUUGCCUUCACCCACGUGAUCGUGACCGCCAUCUCCUCUCAAAUGUUAAGCCAAAAGCUAGAUAGUAACAUUUAGUCAACUCAAAUUUAGAGCAUAUCCUUCAAAUAAGUUACCAAAUCAAUUAUCACAAAUAAAAGGGAGGAGGAUACAUGUUAAUUUCUAUUAUAUGAGUUAACCAUGACCACUGGAUGCAUGAAUGACUAUGAUGCAUGCAAUUGCAUGGCAAAUACAGCUAGUAUUAUACCCUUAGACUGAAAUGGAAAAAUUGGCUGGUUAACUAACCUUAAGAACACCCUUGCCAAGAUAAUCAGAUCCUCCAUCCCUCAACUCCAAGGCCUCAUAUAUUCCUGAGAGAUCAAUUGUUCAAAGAUAUAGUGUCAAAAUUUUCUAUUCAUAGAUGUCGAGCGUAUGGAAUUUGAGGCAACUACAGAAGGCGGCAUUUUUCAAAAAGUAAAGGUGUCUGGACCACAGACUGAAAUAUCACAAAAAGACAUUCCAAACGAAAUAGUGAAUCAAACUGCACAAUAGCACAAGCCAUUUCUAAGUCAUUUUAGAAGUUAAUAGAAACCGACUGAUCCAAUUGAACUCAGUGGAGGUAGUUAUCGCAACGCGCGGUUCUCCGUAUCUGCAACGUACAAGAUAUUCCUUUUGGAAUUGUAAGAAAGACCCUGUAAUAGGUGGCAAGGAAUAGUUGUAUGACUUUACAUGCAUGACAAGAGAAAGUCCAGAUCAUGAAGAUUUAAAUAAUUUUGUCUCAAGAAAGAUAGGCAUAAGAAAAAGAACAUUAGUUCAUAACUUCAGAGCAUGCAGACUCAGGACAUGACAACACACAACACACUCAUUCAAUUUAGCAGCAAUUGCAUAUGGAUGACUACUAUUGCCAAGUUAUCUCAAACGUUAAGAGCUCAUAGCAUGUUUUUGUAAGAGCUAUUAUUAUUGCAUGGAAAUAAUAGUUGUUUCUUCCCUUGAGGGUGGUCAAAUAGGGCAGCAUCAAAUUGGCCAUUAAACAAUCCUUCCUCAGAACUCCCAACUUGACAUAUGAACUGCCCUUCCAAGUUGGUCACCACUUUAAUCACAGAAGAGAGAAGUAAGGCUUUAGUAGUAAAAAGAACAAAAAUCAAUUUUCUAAGAUAAGCAAACAGUCUAACUGAUGUGCCAUAUUGAUUCGAUUGAACUUGAGGUCACCAGUGUACUUUGCUUUCCCCCAAUUUUUCAGCGCUAAUCCCUACUAUGAACAUCUAGCUACAUGCAAUCCGGCAUCAAACACAUGAAUUUUGGAACAACGAUGUACAUACCUGCAUCACAUGGCGCUCGCUCUAACCUUUAGAUCGGUUGCAGGCAAACUCUCGUCAUCCUAUCCUCCAAACAUAUAACAACACAGGAAAAAGAAGGGGACAAAAACAAGAAUCAAUUUGUUACCAUGCGUUAUCCCUAGGUGUGGUGUCUUGGACGUAAUCAUCUACUUCCAUGUUAAUUAACCUCUUCUCUAGCCCUCCUCUUCUUUUAGCUUCUUUAGAGGCAUCUUUUUUAGCCUGCAACAUAGUUCCAGAUCUCACGUGCCCAACCAAACUUGCAAAUUGAGUCACCAAAAUCGAGAUGGGCACAAGAUCUGAGGAACAUAAGAAGCAGCACGAAGGGAGAGAAGAAAUGAACCAAGAGCAAAAAGGCACACCUCCUUCCUAACAAGGUUCCAGAUCCUUCAGAUCAUGCUCUCCACCUACGUGUUCUUCUCCUGCGAGCUUCGCAUCGCAUUGACCUGCGCGCACCACAAGCAGAUCGAUCAGCACAUACCGCGGUUCACCAGCGAAGAAGGACGUAAGUGAGAAGCAGCACCAGGGCUCUUGUCCAUGGCCGUCGCCGCCGCUACGGAUCCUUGAAACUCGUCGAGAGCCGAGAUCCACACUGGGAGAAGCAGGUAAGAAGAAGAAUCAGUCAGAUUUACCUGGCUACCGACGACACGCGAUGAUCGACCAGCUCCAGAUCCGCGACGCGCCGCCACCCUGCGUGCCCGGAGAUGGAGCUGUGCCCACGCGAUGCCCACCCAUUUCGCGUAGGGAGGAGGCGGAGCUAGAGGUGGGCAGCGGUUGUAGAGAAGGUGGAGGAGAGCGAUAGUGUGGGGCUUGAGGUGGUCGAGCACGUCGGCUAGGGUUUCGUCGGAGGCCGCCGACGCUUCCAUCUGCGUCUAAAUCAGUUGCGGCUAGGCGACGGAAUAGUUCGUCGUAGCCAUACCUCGAGGGGCGCGUGGGCUUGAAGCUUCGUCGCUGCCUCAAGAUCUACACUAGGGGCGGCGCUGCGCUCACCGCCACGGCCGAGGAAGAGGCGGAGGCGAUGGCGAAUCCCCCGGGGCGGCGCGUGCUCGAGCGUGUGGGCCAGGGGGGUGCUCGAGCGUGUGGGCCGGGGAAUUGCGCUGGAUUGCGUGAUGCGGAGCAGGGUGCAGCCGCGAGCGGGACGAGAUGCAGGAGUGAUGCGCGGGCAGUAGAACACUCUGGGGUGUGGACGCCUACAUUAGGUUUAUAAUUAGUGUAUAUAUGUAUAUAUAUUAAUAUAUAUAUAUGUGAUAACUAUUAAGUUAGCAGUGUAGACCGCCCCCGCCCGCCCGCAAACCCCGCCGCGCUUCACGCCGCCAUGUCCCCGCGAAGCCCGCCCCUGCGCCCACCUCAUCCCCAUUAUUUGGCAGCGCCGCCGGCACGUACCGACGUACGCCCCCUGCCCUGCUUGUGAUGCCCUCCCCCACUCCGAGAGCACCGCCCAGGAACCACCCCACCGCCGCGGUGACACCUGAUCAAAUCUCGUGGAGCCCUCUAGCAGAUCGCGCGCAAAAUAGGAAGGAAGGGGAGGACUAACUCUAAUCUAGCGCUGCAGGCUACUCGUGUCCACGGAUCUGCGCCCUCUGAUACUGUUGGUCGUCGUGGAGCUGUUGUGCCACAAUGGGAGCGUCGUAGCAGCCCCAGGCGCUCCACAGGCCGGCGCCGCCCUCCGACCGCGACCGCCCGGGUACCAGCGGCCUCACUGCCGAGGAGACUGCCGCGUGGUUCCCGGACACCCUCGACGACCCGCUGGAGAAGGACCUGGAGAGCUACGCCUUGCCGAGCAACGGCCGUGCGAUCAGAGGUGCGCACCUGGGCAUGUCGCUUGAUGUCAUGUUGAUUGAGAUUGAUGAGAGGUUCAACGCCCUGAAGCUGCUCAUGGGCUCCGUGUUCCGGUAGGCCAAGGAGAUGCUUGGUUCUAGGGAUGAAAACGGUCGGAAACGGUAUUUAUUCGGUAAUCAGUUUUUUAGUCGUCUUUCUUUGAUUGCGAAUAAAUAAGAUAUAUAAUCUACAAUACAAAUUUGUAUUCUUGUUUUUAACGUCCAGCUUGUAAAGAUUCAUGAAAGGUAAACCUCAAAUUCAUUCUAUAUUUUCUUAAAUAAUAGAUAUAAACUUCGGUAUGGAUUCGGAAAUAAAUUCGGUAAUUUUUUCAACGUUUCGUGUUGUAGGGAGCAAAUAAUACAUAAAAUAAUUUGUGUAAUAUUUUAUUCAUAUGUGUACUAAUGUGCUUGAUAACAUAAGAAAAGAUCAAAAUUAAAUUUUAUAUAUAUCUAUUUUAAAAUAUUAAAUUUGUUCUAACAGUUCGGAUUACCGUUUUCAUCCCUACUUGGUUCGGUCAACUCGUCGGUGUCUGAUCAGCAGUCGGAGAAUGAGCUGCAGCUGGAAGUGUUCGGUGCCAUCAUCGGAGAGUGCGCCAAUGGCCUGCAGGAGGAGCUAGAGAGGAAUCUGUACGCGCAAAUGAGCAUCACAAACACCAUGAGCAGGAACUGGAAGGAAGCCAUAACUCAGUUUGCCGCCAUGCGCGAAGACCUUGGCGCUCUUUGUAAGCUACUACUGCCUUUAGCACCAGAAGCUCAUAUUUCUAACGGCAAGAAUGAAAGUCCAGGCAGCAAGAGUAACAGAUGGAAGUACAAUUUCUUUGGAAAGAAAUCCAGAGAUGAUCGUUCUCCACGCGCUGAGGACAACAAGAGUUUCAGGAAGCAAAAAUCAUUUGGUGCAAAGGAUGUCAUCUCAGAAAAGUCUGACUUUCACCAUCUCAAUGGUAUGACUAGAGAGCAAGUGAUAACCUACUUUAAGUCUGAGAUCAGCAAAAUGAAAAGGAUGCACAAAUCAGCUUUGCAAGAGAAGACCGAAGAACUGUUCAGGCUCAAACGAGAGAAGGGGUCACAUUCUCUCAAGAAUGACAUCGAAUUUGAACCUUUGAGAAAGAAAAUUCCAGAGCUUGUAUUGAGAAUGGACCAAAUCAUUUCCAAGAAUAUAAAGGUACCUGCAAUCUGCAUGACCCAUGAUGAACUCGAUGAAAGAUGCAGAUUGAUGAGCAGAAUCGAUGCUUUGUUCUAUGAAAAUCAGCAUUUUCGAGGGUUGCUUGCAGACAGGAUGAAGGACAUUAAGGCAUUAUCAUCCCGGCUAUCUGAAGCCAGUAUAGAACUGUCAAUGCAGAUGCUGUCGGAAGAAGAGCUCCUGAGACAAAUUGAUAAAGUUAGAGAAGACUGUGAGGACCUCAGAAUUGAAUGUGAUAUUAGAGAAGGAAUGUACCAAACUGUUACAAAACAUUUGCUUGAUGACUAUAAGGACAAUAUGGAUGGUGCUGCUCUAAAUCUUAGUGCAAAAUUGUCUUCACUUGAAUCUGCAAUAUCUGAAAAGGAUGAGGCAUUAUGCCUAUAUAACGAAGAAAAUCACAGGUUAAAGGAGAAGUUAGCUGAGUUAGAAAAGGAAUGAUUGAUCCACAGUGACCAGGAAGUUCCAGAAGCCAUAAAACAAGAUAGCACAGAAAUUGUUCUGCGUGACAUUGAGGUUGAGCCUUGCAUGUCACCGAGAAGAUCAAAUGCGGACGAUUCAAGGUAUGACGAACUUGUGAAACUAGACUCAAGCUUAGAGCAAACGUCAUGUGUCCUCAAAGAAAUGAACAACAAAAAUAUGGAUCGCAGUAGUAGCCUCAGUAGGAAUGAGCAAGAGAAGCAGCUGGAGUGCAUUUUAGUAUCUAUCAUGAAACUAUCAAAAAUAUGUCAGCGGAAAGAACCGAGAACAGGUUUGUUUGUGUUCAUCUUCAUUACAUUUUGCUUCCCAGGCAUUUUUAUUUCUUUUUUUUUCAAAAACACGAUUCCAAUGUCGUGCAUUGGCCGUUUCAGGUCAGAGGAACUUAGCGAUCACUGCAACCACAUGGUCAGACAAGCCAUGGUACUAACAAAGAUAGGGCUUUGGUAUAAACAAAUGAUUGAAGCGAGGCGUUCUGAGCUCCAAAAGGCUGAAGCCAAGGUAGUUCUAGAAUUGAAUUUUUGUUUUGACUACAAGAACAGCACAUGAUAUAUGAUUAUAUAAAUCGAUCAUGUAGGAACUCUGAAAAGUUUUCUAGGUGGCCAGGUUAUGGUAUUGGGCGAUAAGAUCACCACAUAGUUGAGCCUUCUCCGAAAGAUAUAUUUAGCUCUCGAUCAUUACUCUCCUACCUUGCAGCAGCAUCCUGGUGUAAGUAUCUCAGCUGGAGAUAGCAUGCAUGCUUUGCGUCCAUCCAUGUAUUUUGCAAUGGUCCAGUAUAGUUAAUGUUUAGAACAUCACAAAAGUUAGCAUGGUUUCCUUUGUAUGCAGCUGCUAGACGCUUUCAUGAAGACGUGCAAGCUUGUUGCAGAUCUGAGAAGUAAACAGAACGAAGGCGAUGCAACAUGAACGAGGAGGCGGUAUGGUGGGAUCUCCCUUGGUAUAGCUAAUGUUUCUCAUGUGCUUAUCCGUGUUCCACGCCUGCAGCUGCAGACCAAGUGAAGGAUCCUAUUGAACUGAGGUUUUAGAAUUUCCAGAUCCUGACCUGCAGUAUAUCUUAGUGCCAAGUGAACCAAUAGCUGCCUUGCUGAUCUUAUGCGAUGCAAGUGGUAGCUGUUUUUAUCUGCAAUGAUGACUAGAAAUCUGAAACUAUGUACAUAUGGCAUUGUGCUCACGUUGUCACGUGCUUGUUGGUUAGAGAAUAGGGUUGUUACUUGCUUAGUUAGCAGCCUAGGCCAUGGAAUAGAGAAAAUGUUAACUACAUUGUAAGCAUAAAAUUUAUUUAUCCCCACUCUGUGUUGAUGAGUAUCUUUCCUCCAUCUAGAUUGAUCAUAUUGCUACUCAUUGGACGCGAUCAUGGUCCACCCACUGUGAAAUGAACAUGUCGAAUGCUGGAGACAAAAAAAUAGAGCUGGGCUCCGCCGAAACGCAAGUAUUUCCUUUGGCUGGCCGCUUUGAACUGUACCUGGACGCCUGACUGCCUUUCUCGUCGUGGCCUUGAGCAUCCAGAGAGCUGCCUACUUUGUGACCAUGUCGAUGAAACAAUCCAGCAAGCAGCCGUCAUCCACGCGCAAAUCCUACAAGUCGUCGUCUUCCAUGAUGCGCGCACCCCCUACUCGACUGGGGUGGAGGUGAGGCGAGGACGAGGAGGCCUCACCACGGGGAUGCAGGAAGGCACCGAAUCCCUCGCAGGCGGUCUGCCGGGAUCGAACGACGCAGGCGAAGCCAUGGAGGUCGCGCUUACGUCGACCACGGAGGCAAAGAAGUGGAGGGUUUCCCGUCUCCUGAUCUCAUCCCAUGCCAUGAUUCAGCACCACCUCCCCAUCCUCCUAUGUCCUCGUAUAAAGCACGACAGCCCACUAUAGCGCUGCCGCCCAUGGCAGUUGCAGCACCAGCACACACCGAUAUCGCAGCUCCGUGUCGCGAAACCUACCCUACCGCCUCACGGUCGCCAAGUCAUGCGACUGCCGCGACGCCUCGCCCCCACCGCCUCCCUCCGCUGGCAACAAAUGUUGCCUAUGCCGGUUCCGCAACAACAACCUCCCACUCUAAUCAUUUUUGGAUCAGACUGCCUCUCCGCCAUCGAGCAUCAGCACGGUGAGUCCUCUGUCCGCCUCCCCCUGAUUGUUUUCCCACCUCCCCAUCUUUUUUGGCGUAGACUACCUCUCCGCCAUCGAGCAUCGAGUAUCAGGAUGGUGAGUCCACCACCUGCCUCCCCUUGAUCGUUGUUUUUGGCUCUAGCAAGCAGCUCGCCCUCUGAGGUCCUCAAUCAAACACUUGGUGGUCGACCGCUACUGUCCGUGCACAGGCUGUUCCGGCGCGUCGCGUGACAGAGUGACCACGAUGGGGCUCGUGAUUUCUACAUUGUGAACUAAUUCUUCAAUCCCGCUAGCUUUUAGUUGCAGAAAUUUAUGGAUACAAAAAAACAUCCUCUACAGCCUUGUACAUUUGGUUUUCUAUGCAUAUUUCUUCUUAAGGUUUGUAGCAUAGCCUACUAAUUGAUUGGAGCAGUUUCAGAAGCUUCUUUUAGGUAUAUAUUCUUAGCCUUUUUUGAGAAAAGUACCAUAGCCUAUUAAUAGUUGUUUAUCACUAUUUUCUUUUGUUCCAACUUUCCUUGAUAUGCCAUAUCUCCCUCCUAAUGCAUGUGGUCGCCUAGAUCUUGUUUCUUUCUUCGUUCCAUCUCAUUUUUCAUUAGUGAUUAGAACUACAAUCAUCAAAUGAUGGAUUUGACUAGACUUGUUCUACUUGUACUUUUCUGUGUGUAUUGCAGAACAUGGAGGUGCGGUUGAGAGGAGCUUGCAGAAUCUGUCAAGCGGUAGGGACCGAUGGAUGGGCUGGAGGCGCUAGCUGACAGCUUGUGUGUGCUAUAUAGUCGUCCGUUAGCUCCUUAUAUAUAUGUACAACACUAGCAACUCAACUUAAAUUCGCUGAAAGAUUGUAUUUAUAUGUGCAACCAUUAAAACAGUGUAUGCUAAUGUCCAAUUCUGUUGUAUUCUAUUUUUUAUAAACUUGCAAGCUAUUAUUUGUAUCAUGGCCAUUGUACACAUGUAUGCUUUUUUGUACGGUGCACUUGCAUCUGUCUCUAUUUCACUCUCUCACUCAUCUGCUUUUUUAUGCUUCUCUUUCGGAUAUACUAUUGAACACAUAGAUAACCAGACAUUUUAUCCAAUAUUUUGUAUUGCGUUGCAACGCACGGACACCUAACUAGAUGGGCUUCCGAGCAAACUUUCUCUAGACCCCUAAGAAAAAUAUAAGAUCCGAUCAGAUAUAUAUCGAUGUUCAUCCCAGCGUACUCCCGUUGCAACGCACGGGCACACAACUAGUAUAUAUAUGAAGGGAGGAAGGAAGUAGUAGUAACCAGAUACUCGAACCAAGUCAGGUAGGUACGAUGAUAUGGAUACAUACAUCAUACAUGCGGGUCCGGCCUGAAUCGCGGUCGUCGUUGCCCGCGGCCCGCCCGGCUGGGUGCAUGAACCUGGCGAGGAUCGAAUCGAGGCCGCCGGCAGCCCGGCACCUCCUGCAUGGAACUUGGCCAAGUUGCGCGAUACUUUUAUCCCUCCCAUGACGGCCGUCGUCGGGCGUCCGGGCGUGCGUACGGAAAAAACCGAAUGGUGGUGCCGCUUCGCCCCAGCCAAACCGUCCGGGCUGCUGCGUUGUAGUGCGCGCGCGGCGGGAGACCGACGGUCGGCUGGGGCGGCGGGUCGUCUCCGUCCAACACAGUCAGCCGUUACUACUGUAGUCUGUAGUACGUAUUAGCUUAGCUGCAAAUAGAAGAAAAGUUCAGGAUCGAAGACCAGCAGCGUAAAGAAGCACGAGAGGCUGCGUGCGCAAGGGAGGAACAAAGAAUAAUAAUCGGAGCGACGGCAUCGCGUGAUUCCGAUCCUACGCGAUGCUCGAUGCUACAGCUACACUGUCGACGGCCGGACCGAGCUCGAAAAAAGAGCAAAAUAAUGCCGCCAAAAUAAACGCUUUUUUUAUAUACAUCUCGACUAUUUGGUUAAUUGGUUCGCUCGCCGCAGCGGUUAUCGUCCAUCGCUACGUUUAGAUACAUGUGUUGGAACCGGACCGCCGACACAUGGCGUGUCCGUCGGGGCCGCCCGCACACACGGCGCGCCCACCCAGGCUGUCGGGCCGCGACACACGCGCCCGCACGUAUAGCAGCGGGCUUUAGGUCUCUUGGGCCAACACUCACCCUAAAAAGCUAGCCUGAUAGGGGUUGUCACCCUCAACCUUAUAAACCAUGCUUUCACACUCUCACCAGACAAUGUGGGACUAUUCCCAACAAUCUCCCGCUCACACAUUGUGAGCCGAGAUUUGUCUGAGAAUGCACUGGGCCAACCUGGCUCUGAUACCAAUUGUUGGAACCGGACCGCCGACACAUGGCGUGUCCGUCGGGGCCGCCCGCACACACGGCGCGCCCACCCAGGCUGUCGGGCCGCGACACACGCGCCCGCACGUAUAGCAGCGGGCUUUAGGUCUCUUGGGCCAACACUCACCCUAAAAAGCUAGCCUGAUAGGGGUUGUCACCCUCAACCUUAUAAACCAUGCUUUCACACUCUCACCGGACAAUGUGAGACUAUUCCCAACAACAUGUUAGUUACAAGAGUGCAUCCAUAGUCAGGUAUCUUGAACCAUGCCUCGACAAUUGCAUACAGACAGAUUCACUGAUUGCAUUUUUUGACGAAGACAACUUCCAACCACGUACUUGAUGAGAAAUGUCCAGAAAUCAUAUGACAAUCCACUGGUGUUCCAACUCAUGACCCCCUGCACUAAAGAAGCAAAUUUAAAAGUCCAAAGAUAUUUACUUAGUAGAAUUUAAGUGUCAGACUAUUUUUGUGAUUUCAAGAGCAUGGCUAAGUUCCAUGUUCCUGCAUAUAUAUAAUGCACCCAAAAGGGUUGGAAUACCAAAGAAAAAUGAAAGUUACCUAUCGGCCUCGAAACAAAAUAAUAGAAAACCUUGCUUCUUAAACCCCCCAAGUACUUAGAGACGUCCCGAGAAAAGAAGGCAAGAGAACUUGCCAUGGCCAAUCAUAAAGAUGCCCCAAAAGAAGAAGGGAAACUGGUUAAAACAUGGCACUAGAAAUGAAGAAAAAAGAAAGAAAUUCGAGAGCUAAACCUUUCUUUGAAUGAAAUAGCCACCCUAAAUAUGGGCACACACAAAGACGAUGGAAAGCUAACUAGCCCUCGUGUCGAAAACAAGUAAUGAAAUGCAAGAAGCACCAUGUAAUAAAAUGGCCAUAAAAUUCAUGUCCAUAUGACAAUGUAUAAAUAGGGCAAUAGCCAAUAUAGAUAUAUAUUUCACAAAGAUGGAUGCUUUGAUUAUUGAUCACAAUCCUAAGCUAGUGUCUCUCGUGAAAAGCAAGAAAAGACCAGAUUGGAAAGAAUCGAAAGAGAAAUAACCACAUAAUUAAAUUCUCUAGACAAAAGAGAAGUGUUUGGACCUAUAAGCCGCUCACCACCCCAAAGACAUCCGAUAGGUUAUAAGUGGGUAUUUGUCCCAAAAAAAGAAAUGAAAACGAUGAAAUUGUAAGAUACAAAGCAAAGCCAGUUCCUUAAGGUUUCACUCAACGCCUAGGAGUUGUUUAUGUAGAAGCCUAUUCUCUGGUCAUGGGAAGAAUACCUAGAGAUACUUGAUCUCAUUAGCAAUCAACUUAAAUUUAAGCACAAAAUUAAUGGAUGAUGUUACAACCUAUCUUUGUGAGAAUCUAGAUACCGACAUUUAUAUGAAAAUUCUAGAAGGGGUCCACGUACCAAACAAGGAUGAGAAAUAUAGAGCUAUAGUGUCAAACUAAGUAAAUCACUAUAUGAACUCAAACAAUUAGGAAGAAUGUGGUAUAAUUGUUUGAGUGACUUUCUAAGCAAGAAGGCUACACAAAUAACGAAGAUUUCCCUUGUAUCUUUAUACAAUGAUCCUCAAAUGGAUUCCGUAUAAUCUUGGCCUACAUCGAUGACUUAAACAUCAUUGGAACACAUGAAGAAAUUAAAGAAGUUUGCUCAUACUUAGAGUUUGAGUUUGAAAUAAAAAAUUUGUGGAAAACCAAAUUUUGUUUAGGUCUACAACUGAACAUUUUGAAAGAGGUAUACUAGUGCACCAAUCAACCCACACACAAAAAGUGUUGAAAGGUUUGGAUUUGAAAGGGCAUACCCUGCCAAGACCUAUAUGGUUGGAAGGCCAUUUCAAUAGACCAAGACCCAUAUAGAUAUAAAAAAGAGGAGGAAGUCUUAGGAGAUGAAUAUUCAUACAUAUGUGCAAUUACAACACCCAUGCAUCUUGCGAAUAGCACUAGAGCAAGCAUCGUGUUCGCCAUAAUUUACUAGCAAGAUAUAGUGCAGAACCUCUUAUAAGACAAUGGAAGCAUAUGAAGGACAUCUUCUGUUGUCUCUAAGGAAGCAAGGUUCUAGGCUUAUUCUAUCAGAAAAAACAAGAUUUGAACUUGGUUGGAUAUGUCGAUGUAGGUUAUUUAUUUGACUCACAUGCACACAAGUCACAGAUGGGGUAUAUUUUUCUCUAUGAAGGAACCUAGAGAUCAUCGAUAAAGACUUCAGAUGUAACUUCGACCAAUCACUCCAAAACUACCAUACUAUAUAAAAGCCUCCUGUGAAUGUGUAUGGCUUCGAAGAAUGACCAACCAUAUCCAGUCAUCGUGUGGUUUAAAUGUCAAACUAACCCCCACUAUUAUUUACGAAGAUAAUACAACUUAUGUUGCGGGUAUAGAUGAGCUUUGUGAAGAGCAAUCUUACGAAGCACAUGAGUUCCAAGUUCUUGUAUGCACAUGAAUUGUAUAAGAUGAAUGAGAUAAAAAUUUGCACACUAAGUCAUGUGAAAACUCACAGACUUGUUCACAAAAUUCCUUCACGUAUCCUCUUUUGAAAGAUGAGCCUAAGGACUUGGAAUGAUGAGGCUUAGAGGGAAUUCUACAUCAAUUGGGAAGAAUCUUCGCAUAGUCCUAAAUAAAUGUUAAAACACAAAAUUGUACUCAAAACAAUCUUAAAGACCGGUUAAAAUUUGAGUGAGUUGUACUCUUCUCCUUUACGUGAAUUUUCAUAUAACUUUCCAACUUAACAUUUUUAACGAGGCAAUUCGAACAAACUACAAAGCAAACAAACGUGGACUAUGUACCCUUUUCUCCAAAAAUUUCCCACUAGAUUUUUACAAAGUUUUUGGAACAUGAACAUCACACAAGCAUUAGGGCU